GAUAUGGAAGAAGGCUUGGGACUUGCCUUACCUAAGUUGAAUCCUCUUGAAGUUGUAUUAUCGCCACGCCUUGGAACUGAGUUUUACGAAUGCCUUUAAGAUGGUGAAAAAUAUAUACUAGAAAUUUAGCGUUUUAUAUUUUGAUUAAAUAAUUAUUGGAUGUGAUAAUGGCAUGGUGAUACAGCUUUUAGUUGAGCAUUAAAUAAGUUUACUGAAUGCACUUGGGAAUAAAUGUAAGCACAUUAUUAAAUUUUAAAGUCGAUAUUAGUAAAAAGAUUUUAUUUGAAUAUCAUGUUUAAUUGGAAUAAAAUUAGACCCGAAAUCUAUAACAAAUUACAACACUUAUGCUUAUAGCCGAGAUAUUCUCAUGAACUACCUGGUUGAAGAAAAGUGUGUUUGACAUUGCCAAGUAAAAUUAUUGUAAGGGAUUGAAAUGUUAAAAAAAAAUGUUUAAAAUAAUAAAAGUCUAGUUAUGUAUAUGGUGUUAUAUAUGUGCAAGAUUGAGAGUACUUAUAUUGUUUAUUAUAAUUGUCGAAACCAUUUUUUUGAAAACAAAAAUUUAGGUUAUCGACUUAAAAAAAUAAAAAUUGGAGUCGCCACCGAUCCUUGAUUGAGGUGUGAUCGGCUCACCUUAAAAAUGAUUUUGGUCUGCGAAAUUUGAGAAAACAGGUUCGGGGGUCAGUUACGCACGAGGAAGGGUUAGCACCCCCGUAACGCCUAAAAAUCGGUACCAAAUUGAUUAUUUAAUGUCUUAGUGUCGAUGGUUAAAAAGAUUUUUAAAAAAAACUCAAAUGAUGAAAUCUGAAAAUGAUAAUCAAUUGUUCAAGUUAGAUAAAGAAAUUGAGACCCAAUACGUUAGGGUACAAUUUCUCAAAACCUCCUCCCCCCGAACUUUGAAUAUCGCUCUUUUGUUUUUAAAGAAAAUCUUCAUUUCGAGAAGGCAAUAUGUCAUGCCUAAUACGUCAGGACAUCACAAAUUAAGUUCCCGAAAAUGAUUUUUACUUAUACAUUUUGAAUAACGAAUAUUCUCGGUUAUUUGGAAUUAACAAAGAAAAUCGGAACCCAAUACGUUAGGGCUCAAUUUCCUCACUACACCAGAAUAGGCUUUUAGCGGCACUUUUUGCGGCGUUUGGAACAAAAGCGCCACAAAAAAUCGAGCAUUAGCGGCGAUUUAUCCAAAGCGCCGCUAAAGAUAGAGCUUCAGCGGCGAUUAUCUGGAAGCGCCGCUAAAAAUAGGAAUUAGCGGCGUUUUACAUAAAGCGCCACAAAAAACCUAAGACCAACGGCGUCGUUUUUGCGAUUUUUUUAAACCUUUAGCGGCGUUUUUGUGUAAGCACUGCUAAUGCUCGGAUCUUUAGCGGCGUUUUUGUCUAGGUGCCGCUAAUGCUCGAGUCUUUAGCGGCGUUUUCAUGUAGGCGCCGCUAAUGCUCGGAUCUUUAGCGGCGUUUUUGUCUAUGCGCCGCUAAUGCUCGGAUCUUUAGCGGCGUUUUUAUACAAGCGCCGCUAAUACUCGGAUCUUUAGCGGCAUUUUUAACUGAGCGCCACUAAUUCUCUUGUCUUCAGCGGCGUUUUUACCGAAGCGCCGCUAAUAGUAACAAAAAUCUUAUAAGUUGAAAUAAUUAAUAUUUUGUUCUAUUUAUUAUAUAGUGGGACAAUUUACAUUUAAAUUAUAAUUAACAAAUAAUAUUGAUUAAUAUAAAAAGUUUUUAUUAAAGAGAAGUCGUAUAUAUAUAACAGCGAACUAUUUAUAACAGUUGAUUUAAAUUACUACUUUAUGAAAGAAAAUAUAUUAAAUUAUGAAUAAAAUAAAAUAUAAUAAAACUUAAAUUUUUGUAUUAAUGUAAAGAAUAAAUUAAAAAUAGAAUUAACUUUUUAUAAGAGUAAUAAAUUUUGGUAGUAUAUAUUGUUCGACUAAUUUAUACAAAAUAUAUAUAUUUUAACAAUUAAUUAUUGACUAUAUUUUAUGAUUAAUAUAUAUAUUAAACAUUUAGGGAAUUUUUUUAUGGACGGUAUUUUAAGGAGGACGGGGUAUAGAUUUAAGGUAAUUGAGAUUUAAGGUUAAUUUAGGGGUUAGAGGUUUAAGGGUUUGAGAUUUAGGGUUAAUUUCAACAGUCAUGCAUGUUAAUUAGGGUUUAAUUAAUUAGAUUUGUUUAUUAUUUUUUAUGGUGAAUAUAUACAUUCUUAUAUGUAAAAUAGAUAUUCCAGAAUAAAUUUAAUAUAUUGAAUAUUAUAAUAGGUAGAUCAUGAUCACUUUAUGCAUGUCGAUUGAUAAUUUAUAAUUUGAGACUUGUAAAAUGAUAAUUAUCUUGUAUAUUUAAAAACAUUAAUUAACCGGCCCUAAUAACCAUUUGAUUUUUUUGAUAUAUAUAUGCAUGGCUAUAUAUAUGGUUAAUUAGUAGCAAUAUACCAGAUGCAAAAAUAUCGAUACUUAAGUUCAAAAAUGAUAAAAACUUAUAUUUAGAUCCAUACGGAAAUUUUUGUCAUAAAGAUAAUAUUGCUAGCAUAUUUCAACUAAUUUGUACACAACAUUUUAAACUACUAUAUAUAUAUAAUUAACUUGCAUGUUUAAUAGAUUUUCACUAUAUUUUGUGAUUAUUAAUAUAAAUUUAGGGAAUUUUUUGGGUUUGGUCGGGGUCAUGAUAGGGUUUCUUAAGAGGUUAAUAUUAGAUUGAUUAAUUUUUACGGUAAAUAUAUAUAUUUGUAAAAUAAAUCCAGAUGAUCAAUAAAUUUAAUUAAUAUAUAUUAAUGAAGUUUAGUAUAGUUUAUAUUAUAAUUAUUAAUACAUAUAAUAGGUGCGUGGUAGUUAGAUGAUCAUUUUAUGGAUGCAUGUUAAUUUAUAAUUUGAAGAUUGUUAAAUGAUACAAUUAACUAAUAAUAUAUAGUAACGUUGUAUAUUUAAAAACGUUUAACCGAAAUAUUGAACGGCCAUUUGAUAUUUUUGAUAUAUAUGGAUAUAUAUAUAUAUAGUUAUUAACUAUUUAAUUUGUAUAUAUAGGACCAAAAUAAUCUUGGUAUAAAUAAAUAAACAAAUAAAUAAGUAGGUAAUUAUGUAUUUUUUAAAUAAAUAGGUAAUUAAUUAUUUAAAUGUAAGAUCCACAAAAAAAGAGAGAGAAAUUUAGCGGCGUUUCUAUAGAAAAACGCCGCAAAAGGUAGCCUUUACCGGCGUUGUAGUAAAAAACGCCACAAAUAUUGCAAUAUACGACGUCGUUACGUGUUAGGGAAUCAGUUUCUAUUGUGGCGUUUUAUAGGUAAGCGCCGCUAAUAUUCUUGAUACUCUAUCAGAACGGCGUCGUUUCAGUUGAAUGAUGUACUCUAUUACUGGCGUUUUUCGGGAAAACGCCGCAAAUAUGUCUACAAUUUUGUGAAAACAUCACCGUUUGUUUGUGUAAUUGAAAAUUUGAUGUUUAGGGGUUAGGGGGAUUUAGGGUUUAAGGGUUAUGCUUUAGGGGUUAGGGGAUUUAGGGGUAAGGGGUUAGGAUGGAUUUGGGGUUUAGGGUUUCAACGGUUAUGUUAGAGUUUAAGUUAUUAGAUUAAUUAGUUUUAUUAAUUUUUAUAUCAAAUAUGUUCUUAUAUAUUUUUAAAAUAUAUAAUAAUAAAUUUAAUAUAUUGAAAUUAUGAGUGUAUAGUUUAAAUUUAUUUAUUUAUCAAUAAAUUAAAUAUUAUAAAUUUCAAACUUUAUACAAAAAAAUAAAUAUUAUAAAUGUAAUAUUACAAAUUAAAAGUUUUUACUAUUAAUUAUUGUUUAAUCAAUUAUAACUAUUUUAUGAUUAUUAAAGAUUUAGGGAUUAUUUUGGAUGGCCGUGUUAUUUUAAGGAUUAGGGGGUAUAUAUGAAUUUAAGGUUUAGGAUAUAAGGGUUAGGGGUUUAGGGGUUAUGAGUUACGGGCUAAGGGAUAGUGGUUUAGAAUUUAGGGUUUAGGGUUUCAGGGGUCGGAUAAAGGUUUUAGGUUAGUUUAGAUUAAUUUCUUUAAAUAAUGUUUUAAAAAAUCAAUUUAAAGUACCAAUUGAUAUCAAUUAUAUUAAUGUUUUUGUCAUUUAAAUAUUAUUUUAAAUAGAAUUAAGUUUAAUAAGUUAAAAAAUAGUUUGAAAUAUGCAUUAAAGCUUUAUUAAACGGCGCCAUUUCAGAUUCUAAAUUCAAUUUUUAGUGGCGUUUUUUUGGAAACGCCGCAAAUAUACAAGAAAUAGUGGCGUUUUCCUAACAAACGCCGGAAUGGUGUCUUAAAAUUUUGGCAAAACGACGCCGUUUCUUUCAUCGUGUUUUAACUUAUCAUUUUCUCUAUAAGGCAGAACACAAUAAACACAGAAACAAACAGCCUUCAGACAAAACGGAAGCGAUAGAAAUGAAAGAGAAAAAACAAAGGAAAAAAGGGAGAGGAGAACUCAUAAAUCGGGUGAAACGAAGCAACAACUGAGCCAAUCUUGACAGGAUACUAUCAAAGUUGCGGAAUUUUUGGGGAAAAGGUAAGCUUUUUUUCUUUUAAAAUGAUGUAUCUUGAUUUAGGGUUUGGGUUAAGUGUAAUUUGGUAAAUUGGGGUUUAAAUAAUAAAUUCAAUCACCAAGCUCUGGCCUGUUUGUUUGGGAAUUCGGGGAAUUUGGGAAUUUUUUCGUGUCUAGGGUUUGGGAAGAAGUACCGAUCCUGUGUUUGCUUUCUAGUUUGUUCUUCUCAUUGUUGAAGAGUUAACAUUAACAGUUAACAUUCAGGAGGGACAUAGGCUUCUAAUUUUGUAAGAUGCCAUAAUAAAUUGUGGUUGGGGUAUUCUUUUGCAAAUAAUUUGUUAUAUUUUGUUAACAUGUUGGUAAAUCGAUUAUGUGUAUUGAAGAAGCAAAUCUGUCUUAAAAAAUGUGCUCAUUAUGUAUGUAUAUAUUUACGAAUGAUGGUGACUUGCUCUAAUUUGUUUGAAAUCGAAAUUCAUUUUGAAUUGCGCUUUCUUGAUGCACCAGUAAACUUCGCUGUCAACCGAUAAUUGCUUGGUAUUCUAAGGUUAAUCUUUGGGCACUUAAUUUGGUUAAUUGGCAUUUUAACGCUGACAAGUUAAACUUUAGGUUUGGUUUAUGAGAGAUUGGGUUUGGGGAUUAGGCCUCUUUUGGCGAAAAUAAAAUUACAUAACUCACAUGUUAAAGUUGUAGCUAUUAUUCUUAUGCAUCGUUGGAACAUAUAUUGAGAUUAUCUGGUUGCAAUAUUUUGCAGUGACUACCUAUUCCAGCUUCUGCUUAUUGGAGAUUCUGGUGUUGGAAAAUCUUGUCUUCUUUUGAGAUUUGCUGUAAGUUUCUUGACUUACGUUUCCAUUUGAAAGCAACUGUCUACAUUGUAGACAUCUAUUUUCGUUAUCAUACAUUCUUAGUUUCUUAUAUGAUUGCCCCGAAUGUUUAUAUCCAUGUAUGAUGCUAGAUUGUAAUAAUAUUUCAUUAAAAAAUUGCACUGCAUAUAACGUGUCUUGAGAGAGUGAAAUGUGCACUUCACGAGUUUGGACAUAGGCAGUUGGGGCCUCUGAAUCUUGUCACUAUAUUUAGUUGUAUAUGAAGAUAUCAAACAUGUGGAAUUUUGGAUAUUUCCAGAUGGUUAUGCAGGACAAAAAGUUUGGCCUACACUUCUAUGAAUUUGAAGAAUUUGUGUAUUUUUGUGUUUCAAAACAUUCAUUUUCUUGGAUAGCAAGAUUAUCAUUCAUGUACUGCAAAGAACAAGUUUUAAAGGUCAUUUUUUAUUGGAGUAUUAUUUUUUACUCAUGUUUUUAGUAUAUGGGUUAACAAUAAACUAAUUCAAUUGGUAAUAUUUAGCCACUUUUAUGAUUUAUUUUUAGCAAAAGAGGGGAAUUUUUCGCUUAUUUUGAACAAGCCUCAUUUUUUACAAGAGUUAUUACUCAUCAAGUUUAAAUUUGUACUAACUAUUUUAUUUUAUUUUAUGUCUAACCAUUGUAAUACAUAUAUAAUAAAUAAGUUUUUUCCUCAUAUUAUUACUCUAGUAGCCAAACGAGGCAUUAUUGUGUAAUGAUAGCAAAAAAAAGUACCAAACUUGAAAAUGUUAAUAAUGACGACCAAAAUUUUAGAAGUUUUAAUAACAAUAAUAAUAUAAAGGAGAACACAUAUUCUUGAAAGUUUUAACAACAAUAAAAAAAAGUAAUAAAUUUAUAAGAUAUUGACAUUGAUUUAUUUUUAUUUAGUUAUAGAAUAUUUAAAAGCAUAAUACAAGUUUUAUUAAAAAUUUAAAAGCAAUGGGUUUUUUUUUAGGUUUUAAAUGGGUUUAUAUAUUAAAAAAAUUAAGUUUUUUUUUAAAAUUUUUCAAUCUGCAGUACCUUAUCACUGAUAAUUUGCAUGGUAUUUAUUGCUCUACAUGAUGUUGCUGUCAAUCUCUACAUGCAUAUGGGCACCAAUUCGAGCAGUAAUACCCAUCUCUAAUUACAUAACUUAGUUAAUUAAUAUUAUACAUAACUGACAACUUACAUAACUUAUAACUUACAACUUACAUAACUUACAUUUUUUUAAUUAUUCAUAAAUUACAUAACAUACAUUAAUAUUAUACAUAAAUUACAUAACUUAGUUAAUUAAUAUUAUACAUAAAUUACAUAACUUAAUUUUAUGUUCUUAUACAUAACUUACAUUAAUAUUAUACAUAAAUUACAUAACUUAAUUAAUUAAUUAAUUAAUAUUAUACAUAAAUUACAUAACUUAAUUUUAUGUUAUUAUACAUAACUUACAUUAAUAUUAUACAUAAAUUACAUAACUUAAUUAAUUAAUAUACAUAAGUUACAUAACUUACAUUAAUAUGAUACAUAAAUUACAUAACUUAGUUAAUUAAUAUUAUACAUAUGUUACAUAACUUACAUUAAUAUGAUACAUAAAUUACAUAAGUUAGUUAAUUAAUAUUAUACAUAACUUACAACUUACAUAACUUACAACUUACAACUUACAUAACUUACAUAACUUACAUUUUUUUAAUUAUUCAUAAAUUACAUAACUUAAUUAGUUAAUAUACAUAAAUUACAUAACUUAAUUAAUUAAUUAAUAUUAUACAUAAAUUACAUAACUUAGUUAAUUAAUAUUAUACAUAACUUACAACUUACAUAACUUACAACUUACAUAACUUACAAUUUUUUAAUUAUUCGUAAAUUACAUAACUUACUUAAUUUUCAUAAUAAAUAACUUACAUAACUUGCAACUUACAUAACUUAUACGACAUACAUAACUUACAUAGCAUAAUUUGACUAAUACACAACUUACAUAAUUUUCAUAAUAAAUAACUUACAUAAUACAUAACUUACGUAGCUUAGUUAUACUUAUUCCUAAAUCCUAAACCCGUGCAAUUUAUUCUCAAGAUUAGGCUUCAAGAAAUAAGAAAUGGACCGGUCUUGGAUGAAUUUGUCAAGGGUAAGCGACGGUUAUCGAAAUGGAGUACAAACUUUUCUAGAUUUUGCAUUUCAACAUGCAAGCCAAGAGAACAUGAUUCUUUGCCCGUGUAAGAAGUGUGUCAACAUAAACUGGCAUUAUCGUGAAGUUGUAUACGAGCAUCUAAUUGUUGAUGGGUUUGUUCGUGGUUAUAAACAAUGGUUUUUUCAUGGAGAAUGCCCGCCUAGUACUUCCUCUUCAAGGAUGGAUGUAUCUUAUGAUAGUACUGCCUACCAUCAGUCUGUUAGAGGGGAUGACAUGGAAGGGAUGUUGCGUGAAGCAUUUAAUAUUCAGAGUCAUGGUUUACAGUCGUUCCCACCUGACUUUCUACCAUCUGAUGAUUGUAAUCUCGGUGGAAAUGCUGGUGCCCAACCCGGAAGAAGUGUACAUCAUGAAGAGCCGAAUGGAGAAGCGGUAAAGUUCUACGCGCUACUUAAUGAGAUGAACGAAGAACUAUAUGAGGGAUCAAAAUUUUCAAAAAUGUCAUUCUGCAUUCGUCUUUUCCAGUUAAAAUGUUUGGGAGGGUGGACCGGGAACUCAUUGACAAUGCUGUUAGAGUUUUUGAGAGAAAUGUUUCCGUUUGCAAAAAUCUCUCAGUCUUGCAAAGAUAUGAAGAAAAUUAUAAAAGACUUAGGUCUUGGGUACAACAAAAUCCAUAGUUGCCCAAAUGAUUGUAUGUUGUAUUGGGGCGAUCGGAGAAACCAACAGUGUUGUUAUGAAUGCGGUGAAUCCCGUUGGAUAAAUAGAAACACAGAAGAUGGGAACGACGAUAUAGUGCGUCAAUAGGUUUGGAGUGGGAAGAACGUCACUGACGAAGUUAAAUGGCUUUCCUAAGGUCCAAAUCGGGUGGUUAAAAGAUAUAGUGCGUUCCUCAUAAACGGAUUCAGAUUUCAUACAAAAUAUCGCGAGAGAUUGAAGAGAACGCAAAAUUGUGGAAUAGUGGUUAAUUCCUCAAUUACAAGUUAUGCUAGUGCUAGGGACAAUAAUCCUGUGGAGGAAAAUGUGGAAUAUUUUGGACUUCUUACUGACAUAAUUGAGUUGGAUUACUACGGCAAAUGGAAAGUUGUCUUAUUUCGAGGUGAUUGGACCGAUGUUAAUACUGCACGUGGAAUCAAGCAAGAUCAAUUUGGUUUCACAAUGGUAAACUUCGAUCGAUUGAUUCACACAGGACAACAAUUGAUUGAUGAGCCGUAUGUAUUUUCUUCUCAAGUCAAACAAGUUUUUUACUCAAAAGACCCAACUGAUGAGGGUUGGUACGUUGUACUCCGUAACAUCCCUAGAGACUUGUUUGACAUGGGCAGUGGAAGUAGAGAUGACAUUGACGACAGAACACAAACUUUGCCAUUUCCAGAACAGAACUUAAACGAAAACAUCCCUGGUACUAGUACACAAUUUCAAUGGGUCCGCCAGGAUACGGAUGAAGAGACUUACGAAUUAUAAUGUAGUAAGCUUUUACGAUUAUCUAAUUACAUCUACGAAUGAUGAUAUUUCAACUAUUUUAUAUGGGAUAUUAUUGUUGUAAUUGUAUAGUAAGUUUUCAACUAAUUUAUUUGUAUUGCAGAUAAAAUGCCUAGAAGAAAAGUGCGAUCGCACCGCAUUGUUCAAGGUACUCCAAACUCGGCGGAAACAAACAACACUGAACAACAGACUGCUAUUGGAUCUUCGAAUGUUCCGGUUACACCUGAGGAACCUAUAGAAGUUCAAAGUAAUUUAACAUUUAAUUUACAUGUGUGUUGACUUCUUGUUUUUUUUUUUAAAUUUCGUAUAUUACAAUACUUUUAUUUUUCAGAUGAAAUUGGUGGGACGCGAAGAGGUCGCGGACGUACGGUAUUGAGCGAUUUAUACGACCUAGAUCUAGUCGAGCGUGUCCAAGUAUCCAGUAAUAGCUUUGGUCAGCCUGUUGGAUCAGAAGCUCGCCUUUUAGCAGGAUACAUGGGCAUUCUAGCACGGAAUGCAAAUAUGUUGCCAAUUAACUUCGACUCAUGGCAUAAAGUGCCCGAGAGUAACAAGAACCAAGCUCUCGAUAACAUUAAGGUAACAAAACGUGUAUGUCAUUUAUAAUACUUGGGUUUAAGUUUCGUUUACAUUUACUUUCUUAAGUUGUGUUUUUUGUAGGCGAGAUUUGCUCUAGAGGUCUCCGAUGCUUAUGUAAAGAAGGCAUUGGGAAAAAGAUGGAGAGACCAUAAGAGCACUUUAAAGAAAGACUAUUUUAAGACAAAAACAACACUGGACGAGAGAUUACAAAAUGUCCCGCCGGGAAUGCUGAGGUACCAGUGGGAAGAGGUCGUUAGAUUUUGGGCUUCAAAGAAAGGAGAGGUAUGUGUAACGUAUAAAAUUUUGAAAUUAUUUUGGUGUAUAGUAUUUCCUAAUUAAUGUACUAAUAAUUUCAUAAUGUAGGAUCGUGAAGAAGUUGGAAAAAAAAGUAGGCAGCAACAAAAAUUCACUCACACAGCUGGGUCGAAAAGUUUUGCGUGUGUAGCUCAUGCAGAGGUAUUUUCAAUUUUUAUAUAUUGGAGGAUGAUAACUACUUACUUACAUUAAUAUUUUACUAUUGUAUUGUAGGAACUGUCGUCCGGUCAAAAAGUUGGACGCCUUCAACUUUUUGACAUUACACAUAGGAAGAAAGAUGGAAACCAUAUGACUCCUGAAGCUGCAGAAAUUAUGGUACGUUUGCUUAAUUAAUACAAUUUCACUUGUUUUAAUUAUUUAUAGUGUUUAUUUUCUAAUGAUUUAUUUCAUUUUUUGUAAUGCAAAUAUUGUUAAGUUAUGUUGCAUUGGGUUUUUUAAUAUAUAUUGCGUUCCUAACUAUUUGAUUUAUUUUUUAGGAAAAAUUAAGGAUAACAAGGUGGAGUACGAAGCGAUUGCUUCCAGUGAUAGUUCUGUUCAUAUUGACGACAUUGAUAACCGGAUUAUCACUGAAGUUUUGGGUCCUGAAAGGUAUGGUCGGGUUCGAUUUCAAGGAUCUUUUGUUAACCCAUCCCAAUUUUUUGGAUCUAGCUCGCAACAAUAUAUGCCUUCGGGGAGUCGAGCCGAAGCUGAAGUUCAGAGGUUAAGAGACCAGAUGGAUCGUAGCAAGCGACAACAAUUGAGCAAAUUACACAACUUAAAGCGGAGGCAACAUCGAGAGAAGCUGAGGUUCAAAAAAGAUAUGAAGAACUCCAGCUACAACUGAAAGCAGAUGCAGCAGCGAGAGAAGCUGAGGUUCAACGAAAGUAUGAAGAACUCCAGCAGCAGCUUAAAGCAGAUGAGGCAGCAAGAGAAGCAAAGGCCGCAGCGAGAGAAGUACAGGCUGCAGCGAGGGAAGCAGAAGCUAAAGCGAGGGAAGCAGAGGCUGCAGCGAGGGAAGCAGAGCAGCGUCAAAAGUUCGAUGAACUCCAGCAGCAGCUUCAGAGUAUGAUGAAGAUGUUUCAGCAGUCGCAACAGCCGCCGUCUUAGACUAUAGUGUAAAUAUACUUCGAUUUUGACUUUUAAUUAUCAUUUUAACUUUUAACAUUUUUGUAAGAAUAAUACGAUUUUUAUUUUAUUUAUUGAUAUUUAUUAUAUUAUUUGUUUAAUAUAUUGAUUUAUUACUUUUGGCUGCUUUAGAUAUGAUUUCUUUUGAUUUGUUUUUACAGGAGGGCUGAAAAUAUAAAAAAUUUUAUUUUACAAAUCUGCCAAAUUUAGUACCGUUUUUAAAAAAAACGCCACUAAAGGUGUUGGCCUUUAGUGGCGUUUUUGGUCAAAGCGCCGCUAAAGAUAAGGGUCUUUAGCGGCGUUUGUGGAAAAAGCGCCACUAAAGAUCAUAGUCUUUAGUGGCGUUUGUGGUCAAAGCGCCGCUAUAGAUCAGGGUCUAUUACGGCGUUUGAGGGGAAAGCGCCGCUAAAGACCCUGAUCUUUUGUGGCGUUUUUGGGAGAAGCGCCGCUAAAGAUAAGGGUCUUUAGCGUUGCUUCCACUAAAGCGCCGCUAAAGGUCUUAGUCUUCAGCGGCGUUUGUGCAAGAUGCACCGCUAAAGAUCAGGGUCUUUAUCAGGGUCUUUUAUUUUUAAAGAAAAUCUUCAUUUCGAGAAGGUAAUAUGUCAUGCCCAAUACGUUAGGACACCACAAAUUAAGUUCCCGAAAAUGAUUUUUACUUAUACAUUUUGAAUAACGAAUAUUCUCGGUUAUUUGGAAUUAACAAAGAAAAUCGAAACCCAAUACGUUAGGGCUCAAUUUCCUCGAAAGUUCCUAACUUUGAAUAUCGUUUUUAUUUUAAAAACCUUUGACAAAAUCAAAAUAUAUUUUUAAAACAUAUGUUUAAAAAAAAUGAAUGCAAUAUGAAACAAAUAUUUUAAUUUUAAUCAUAUGUAUACAUAAGUAUGACAUAUAAAUAAUUUUUGCAAAUAUGUAUAUGGAUAUGAGAGGAAAAAAUGCAUAAAUUUUAUAAAAUGUCAAUGCAUAUAUCUAUAUGAAUACAUAAGUCAUAAGAAUAAAACCAUAAUAAAAUACACAUAAAAUAUAUUCAUGUAUUUAUAAAAAAAUGUAUAAGCAUAAUAUAUUGGUAAAUAUAAAAAUAUAUAUUUAUAUUUAUAAUAAGUUUUGAAUAGAGUAUAAAUAUAUAUGUACAUAUUAUAAAAAUGUAUAAACAUAUACAAAUUAUAAAACAUGGGAAACGUAUAAAUGUUAUAAAAUAUAAAUGUAUAUACAUAUAUAUAUAAAAACUAUGAAAAUAAAAUAAUAAAUAGAAAAAAAUAUGUAUAGGUAUUUAAAAAAUUUUAAAAAUAUAUAUAUUAUAAAAUACUCAUGCGUGUAUAUGUGUAAGUAUAAUAAUAAUAUAAUAAUGAUAAUAAUAAUAAUUAUUAUAAUUAUAACCACUAUAUUAAUAAAAUAAACUAAAAAAAACUUAAAACGAAAGAUCAUGGAUUAAAUUGAAAAUAACAGAAGUUUCAGGGGCAAAUUUGAAAUAAAUAAAACAUCAAUGGAUCAAAUAGAACAUGCAGUUAACAGUGGAGGACCGAAAGUGAAAUUAAUCCAAACCUCCCAAAACUCCACGCAACAAUGGAUUAAAAUAAAACAAAUUCAGCAUUUCUUGGAAAAAUUUGAAAACAAACAACAAUGAUUUUGAAAUGAUGGGAUAAAAUGGAAGGAUUAAAAACGUAAAUAUCCCAUCAGUGCUUAAAACCCUUUUCAAUCUCAAAUUUAAACGCUAUUCUGCAGCAGCAAUAGCCGCAAAAACUGUUUCAUCUCCUUCCCAACUCUUCACGCCAAAACCUUUAACUUUGAUUUGGACAAAACUAAGCAAACGAUGCCGACGGCGCGCCUCUGCUGGUAAGAAUCUCCUCCCUUUCUUUUACUAUUCAUUUUUUUUCAAAAAAAUGAAGUAAAAUACAAAAGAAAUAUGAGAAAAAAAAUAGAAACAGUAAAAACUUGGAAAGAACAAAUCACCUUCAAAAAUUUGUUUUUUCCGAUUCUUUUCUUUCGUAUUUCAGUAUUUUUCAAUAUAUGUGUGUAACCCUUUUACAGAUUUGAUUUGGCUUUAUAUAGCUGAAACAACGGAGAAAGAAACUAUCGAAAAAACUCUCCUCCUUUUGUCGUAAUUUCUGCUAUUAUUUCUAUUCGUGGUUCAUGGCUUGUUGCAGGUACGGGCAUCGUGCGAAGCUACCAGACGUGGGUGAGACGACGUGGGCAGUUGCUAUGCGUUCGUGCGUGCGUGAAGACGGUUGCUGCAACGUGGGGGCGAGGGUGACGCCGAUCCGCUGCUUAUUGCCAAAGGUUUCUGCUGUUCAUUUUUUUGUGUUUUAGGCUAGUGGGUUAGGUAUUUGGGUUGUUUGGGUAUUGGGCUUGUAAUUUAGUUAUUGGGUCAGGGUGUUAUUGGGUUUAAAACUGGGUUUAGUAAUAGGCUAUUAUAUAUAUAGCCAGGCCAAAAUUGGCCUAUUACAAUAAUUAUUGUAAAUAAAUUAUUCUUUUUGUUUAGUGUGUAAUUGAAUUUUUAAGGAAAGAUUUAGAAAGGAGGGUGGUUUAGUUAAUAUAUAAGAGCGAAGUUGCAACUUGAUAAAUAAGUUUAACUUAAAUCAAGUAUUAUAUUGUAAAUUGAUAGUGAAUUAAUUUCUAGGUAAGACCACACAGGCAUAGGAAGUUUUCUAUCUAUGUAUUUUUACUUUAUUAGUUAGUGAUGCCAGUUACGAGCAUAAAAUGUUUCCACAUAAUCAAUUGUGUUCAUCUCAAACUUUUAAUGUGCUAAUUAAUAAGGCUUAUUGUAAUUGAAUGCGUAGUUGAAAAUCAACCUUUAUGUGAAACACAUUUUUUUGAACCUAAUAUUGGGAUAAAUCUCAAAAUUAUAUAUGAACUUUGAUUUAAUGUGUAAUUGUAUAUAUGAACUUUAAUUUGGUGUAGUUAGACACGUGAAAUUUUGAUUAUGGUUCAAAUGUGUAUUUGAAAUUUUAAUUUUGAUUUAAUCAUAUACACACUUAAAGAAAUAGAUAAAUCAAUCUAUUGUUAUAUUAGAUAAAUAUAAUUAUUUAUAUAUGCAAUAUAUAAACAUAAAAUGAUGUCAUAUCAAUUAUUGUGUUAAUAAUUUACGAGAAUUGGAUCAAAUCAAAAUUUCAUGUAUAAAAUUGCACAAAAUCAAAGUUCAUGUGUUAAACCAUAGUUCAUGUAUAGUUUUGAGAAUUAUUCCUUCAAAUUAGUAUCAUAUUGUUUGAUUAAAUUCCUAUAGAAAAUUAAAAAAAUUAAACUAUUACAAAACAACUAUUUUGAAUUCUUUUUCUUAUUAAUUUAAAAAUAUACAGACCUAAUCUUUGAAUAAAUAAAAUAAUGUAAUGUAAGAUCUUUCAUUAAAUGAAAAUUUUUGCACCUUGUUUUUUCCGGCUUGGACAUGCCAUCAAUAAUUUUCAAACUUGGGUAGUCCAAAUACGUUGGUCACAUGACCAAAGUCCCAGAAAAUCUAGUCCAAGAAUUGGAAAUACGGGCUGAACAAACCAAAAGAGAUAGCUUUGUCAGUUCCAUGUCCCAUGGAGAUGUCCAUUUUGAAUCAUUAGCUUUUUUUUUGUAUUUUUUAUUUUAAUACAUAUGUUUUGACUUUUAAUUUAUAAUUAAUUUAUACUUUUUUUAUAUUUUUAAAUCAUUUUUAUAAUUUUUUAUCCAAAAAUGUUUUUUUUUAAAUAUUUUUCUUUUUUGUUAAAAAAAAACUUUUAGAAUUAGAAUUAAAUUGAAAUUUUUUUUGUAAACAUCGAGGGUUAAAUUUGUUAAAUUUUUUAAAUUUAAGAUCAAAUUGAUAGAAUAUGUAAACAUUAAAGAGUUACAUUUAUUAUUAAACCAAUAAAAAAUACCCAUGCCAACUUUCCUUCACCCAUUUAAUGAUAACUAAUUGGAGAAUAACUAAAAUAUUCGAUUUUGAAAAGUUAAGUAACUAAAAUGAAAAAAAUUAAUAGUUAGGUGACCAAAAUAAAACUAAAUGUAUAAUUGAAUGACUUAUUUUAUAAUUUAUCCUAUUUAUCAUAUAAUAGUCCUAGAAAAGUGAAUUUUAUAUAAUAUUUAAAUGAAUUUUAAACCAUAAAAAAAUUAUUCAUAAACAUAAAUAAAUUCUGACAUUUUAAUAAACAAACAUGAAAAUAUUAUUUAUAUUCAUUUAUAUAACUUAUAAACGAAUAUAAACCCAACAACUCAUUUGACGUGAAUCGUAUAUCCUUCCUCUAAAAUGUCGCUUUAAUUAAAUAUCAUGUCAUCAAGGACAUGCACGUUAAGUGCUUUGAACCAACGAAGUUGUUAAUCACGUGUUGGGACGACUCCAAUCAAUUAAGUACAUACAACUUUAUCAAUUGUGUCAAAAUAUCAUUUGCGGAUAAUUAUAUACAUAAUUAAUAAAUGAAAAAAUUUAUUAUUUUUAUCUAAAACUAUUCAUUACACUAUAAAUUUUUAAAGUUUCACAAAUAAAAUUUAAGAUUUUAAUAAAUAAGACAUGUUGUAAUAUUUGUUGAAUUAAAAUAUUCUACCAUAUCAAGUUCUAAUCCAUUUUUUAUUUCUUAAAUAUAAUAUAAAAAUAGUUUAAUCCAUAAAUUGGUAUCUAAAUUAUAUAUUUUUUUCUCUUUUUGGUAUCUAAACUUUUUCUUUGGUCACAAGUGAUAUCUAAAUUACUUUUUUUUUCUUCAAGUUGGUAUUUUUGUUAGUUCAACCGUUAGGUCUAUUUUAAAAAAAAAAAAGACUUAGCCCACAAGUUAGUAUCUAAAUUAUGUUUUCCAAAAGUUCUUUCAUCGUUCAAAAUCAAUGUUUUCAGAACCGGAUCAACUAGUUGGAUUGAAAUUUGGUUGAGGUACGAUAGAGGUUGAAUAUAAAGACAAAAUAAUAUUUUUUUGGUCUUUAUUCUACAUGACAAUUUUUAAUUGGUUAUCUUUUUAUUUUCUAAAAUGGACUUAACAAUUUAAUUAACGGUUGAACUAAUAAAGGUAUCAACUUGAAAAAAAAAUUAGUUUAGGUAUCACUUGUGAAAAAAAAUGUUUAGAUACCAAAAUAAGAAAAUGACAUAAUUUAAGUACUAAUUUGUGGGUUAAGCCUAUAAAAAAAUUGUGAUUGGCAUCUUACACUCGCUUGUAUUUUUUCAAACGCAAAUAUAUUCAAAGUAAAAUGAUUAAAUUUAAAAUGUAUGAUGACUUAUUUGGCUCUCGAAUUUUACAAAAAAAAAAUCAUUUUAGCUAUUCAUUUAAUUUUUUUUGCCUCUUUUAGUCCUUGAACUUGCAUUGUUUGUCAAACCAUCCAAAAUGGAUGAUCUAUUAACUUUACUAAUGGGGCAUCCAUAUGGCAAUCAUGUAUAUGCCACAUCAGCAAUUAAUUAAUUUUUCAAAAUUUAAAAAAUAUUAUUUUUAUAAUUUUUAUACUUUUGUACUAAUUUUACUUUUUUUAUUUAAAAAAAUUAAUUAAUUGCUAACAUAACAUAUGUGUGACAAUUUACGUGUAUGCCACAUCAACAAAGUUAACAUACAUUAACUUUUUCAUCUAUUUUGAGGUGAUUAGAUAAAUAGCAAAAAUUUAAAGACUUUUAAGAGAAGAAAAACUAAAUACAAGAUUAAAAUAAAUAUUUUUUAUAAAUUAGGCCAAAUAAGUUAUUAUUACUUAAAUUAAACUAAAAUCUUUUGAUAUGCAUCAUUGAAGAACUACCUUAUGGAAAAGGUUUUAAUUAACAACUUAAUCAUUUAAUUUCUCUUAGAUAAAUAAAUUAUAUUUGUCUCACUUCGCUUUUGAUUUUCAAUUAAUAUGGUAAGAAUUAGGUUGGUGGUUAAAUAAUUAAUUUAAGAUUUAAUUAAUUGAAUUAGUUUAAUUAUAAAAAAAAAUUCAAAAAAUUAAAUAUUGAAGUUAACUUCGACGUGAUCCAAAAUGUUUUUAAAUGAUUUUUCGUCACCACUUUAAUCAAUUUUUUGUUGGUUCAUUUUUUUCCAAUCCUAAAUAAAAAGAAUAAAAUGUAAUAUAAUUUUAAUAUAAAAUUUCCAUAAUAUUUUUACUAAAUUUAUGUCAUUUUCGUACAUAAACAUAUCGACAGUGCAUAAGAAGAAUCACGCAUAUCUCGUGACACACGAAUGACCCUACCUUGAAAAUAAAUACCUUUGAAAACAAAAUAAUUUUCCAAUCACACAAAUAAUUCUCGCAUAGACAGCAAUAGAUGACUAAAAGAGCACCACACAAAUAUAUUGAUUGUAAUAACCACCUAAUUUUUUAAAAAAAGUCCACUUGUACACGAGAUUUGGAAUUAAAGAUUUUGGUGGGCUUUGUAUUAUUAUUGUUGUAAUAACAAAAAGAAAUUGAGUUUUUUUUGAAGGUUACAUUAAUAAUAGAAAUUGUAUUAAAAUAUAUUUUUGAUGUGGGUUAAUUAUUUAUAAAUGUAAGUAAAAUUUGUAUUUUUUUUAUAGGGAUGAAUUUGAAUAAUUAUACGUGAGGUUUUUGAGAUGCCAACAAAAGAUUUAAUCAUUGCAAUCUCUCCACCUUAACCACAGAAAAAAAAAAAAGAAGAUCAAAUUCUAUUAACUCUGACUCAUAGUGAUCAUUUAUCAAAGAAUGAUUGAAUAACUGGGACUAAUUUACUUACGAUACUUAAUUGGCAUUCAUAAAAAAGUAUCUAAUGAAUUACGAGUUAAAUACAUCCUGUUUAGCAGAAAGGCGAAUAUUCCUUGCUCAUUAUCAGACAAUCACUUAUUCACAAACUUCGUUUGGGGCUAAUAGUUUUCAUUUCCCACCUCGUGGAAAACCCUUUUCACUCCGUUUAGCCCUAUCUCCCUCUAAGAGUAUUUUAGCGAUAGGUUUUAUAGGAACCGUACGAUCCUAUUUGUUCAAAUACCUAGCGACAAACUCCUAUGUUCCUUUCAUUACAGUAUUUUUGAACAAGUUCCUGGAUAACAAGCUUCUGGAUAAUAAGCUUAAAGGUUUUCUUAUUGAUGAUAUCGAUAUUGAUAAUAGUGACGAUAUUGAUGCUAGUGAUGCUAUUGAUCGUGACCUUGAUACGGAACUGGAGCUUCUAACUAUGGUGAAUGUGUUAACAUGGUUAUGAUGUCGGAAAUAGACCGAUUUUAUCUCACCCUUCAAUUCGAACUAGCAAAAGCAGUGUCUCCUUGCAUAAUAUGGAUUCGUAUUGUUGAUAAUAAUCAUACGUGAUGUUAAUAUUAUACAUAAGUUCGGUUAUAAUUUAAAUUGGUCAUACCACGAAGACCUCUAAAUUGAAAAAAAAAAUUAUAUAUUUCAAGCAAUUAUAGUUAGUUUUUUUAUAUAUUUUCAAGGAGAUUAUAAGUAUAACCACAAGAAUAAAUUAUAAAAUAUACAUUUUCGAUAAAUUAAAACUAGAACAAAUUUAAUGUUAAACACAACAGACUGAAAAUUGAAAUAUAAUUGAGCAAGGGAUGACGUCCCUUCUAACCAAGGGCGGGAUAAUGUGAGUAAGUACAUAUACUGACUUACUUAAAAAUGGUGGAAUUGUGGUUUAGUCUUAUAGAAAUUGUAAAGUUACUAGCAACCCACAUAACUAUAUAUUCAUAUGGUACACGGUAAAAGAAAUAAAAAUUAUUUAAGCAAUGAAAUUUUUUGAAAAAAAUAAUAAUUAUUAAUAAAGUAAAAAAAUGUGAAUACUUUUAUUAAAUAGAUUUUUUUUGGGUAAAAAAAAUUCUACAGUUUCUCCCAUUUUUUUUGAUGAAUUGCAAUAACAAUACAAAUCUCAAACAAUAAACACGAUUAACACGACUCAAAUCCAGGCCGCACCUAGGGCGAUGAACACCCUUGACCAUCAGGCCAUCACAUGAGGUUCACCAAUUUUGAUAUUAAGCAAAAUUUUCCUUUUAAGAAAUCAAAGUAAUUUAACAUCUAUCAAUUUCAAAAAGUGAGUAACUAAAGAUAAUUAAUCAUAAUGUUAAUGUUUUUUUCAUAAAUUGUAUAUACUUUUAUCAAUAUGAUAAAAAAAUAGCCCUCAAAAUUUACACAUUCUGUCAAUUUAGUUUUGAUUUAAUAAAUUUAGUUUACAACAUUUACACAUUCUGUCAACAUUUACACAUAAUAUAUAAACAUCAAUAACUAAAUCUAUUGUUAUAUUAAUCAAAUUUAUGUACAAUUGAUAAAAAAAUUAGAACUAUAAUUAAUUAUCCUAAAAUUAAAUGAUUCCAAUUUAAUAGUAUAGAUAGGUACUUUCCUUUUUAAGAUCACAAACAUUUACUGGGAAUUAGGUAUUAGAAUUGUCGGAGGUUACCAUAUUUUGAUGUGAUGGAACAUUAUUAAAUAAGAGGAAAAUGUUAUCAAUUAAAUGCCACGAAUCAAUUGGACGACUUAAUAGAAAAAAAAACUAAAAAAUUAAUGCUUUCUAUAAAGUAAUAUUUUUAUAUUUUAUAUAAAAUCAAUAAAAGUGAUUUAAAUUUAAUCAUUGUAAUUUUUAAACUGUGAAUUUGACAAUUUCAACUAUAUUAUUAUUUGAUUCAUAUAUGUACAAGCCUAAUUUUUAUGCCCGGGCCCACUACCCAAUAAACCUAACCCAACUACCAUAAACCCAAACCCGGAGCCCAAUAUCAGGCCCAACAGACCCAGAAACCAAAGUCGGCCUAGGGUUUCAGAAACUGAAACUCUAGGCGCCGCACCUUGCUUCAGACUCUUGGUCUCCUAAGCGCCGCCUGGUUCAGACCUUUGGUCUUCUAUUUCCACUCGUUUUGACCCUUGAUCUCCGAGCCGCCGCGCGUCUGCCGCCACCAUCACAUCAACCGUCGCCCAUCAACCUUGCAAAACGGAGAACUCGCAGGCAACAAAAUAAUACAAAAAAUAGCAUGUAAAUAGCAACCAAUCGCCUAUAAAAAGCUGAACACCAUCGUUGUAUUUUUUUUACAACGAUUAGUGAAUGAAAAGCAGAUCAAAAAUUAAAAAAAAGGUUGACUCCAGUUCUCUUUUCAAUUCUUGCACCCUUUAUUUUAUUUUAUUUUAUUUUUGCUUGUUUCACUACUCUUUUAAACAAAAAAAACGAAAUGAAAGAGAGAGACAGAAAGAUGCCUGUCCGCUUCAAAGAUCGGCGUCGUCGCCUAUCUUUGCCGUCGUCUGAGUCGAACGCGGGAAAGGGCCCUUUCUUUCUCUUGAUCCCACGGUUGAGAAGGCCAAGCCUUUGAGGACACCGAAAGGAGGGCUAAAAGGCCCAUUUCGCGCAACUCCGGCCACUGGCCGUGGAGGUAGCGCGGCGGUGGCCAAAAUCCGGGGCCGGAAGUCGUAGGGGGCUUGAGGGGAUUCUCUGUUUCUUUCUUUUAUUUUUGCGGCUGAUUAAUGAAAUUUAUGUUUUUUUUUAGUUUUAUAACAUCUAAAACGACGCUGUUUAAACCCCCAUGAUCUGCGCGCGAUCCGACCCGCUCUAGGGGGGAUCCGCGUGUUUUCAUGAUAUGGGCUAUUUGCGGGCAAGACCCCUCCUAUUUUGAGCUGUAGUGCAAUCGGGUCUUUGUGGUUUUCAUACUUUGGCCGCAUAAUUUUCUGAUUGUUUCUUUUUGGUCCGGAUUGAAACGCUGUGUUUGAGGGCUAGGAAUAUUACCCAGUCGAUCCCUUGUCCUUUAAGAGCAUUUCAUUUUGGUCCCGAGCCACCUUCUUUGUUCAUUUGCGAUUCUGACCCCUAAAUUUCGGUCCGUUUUCAAUUUGGUCCUUAAUCUAUUUAUUCAUUUAUUUUUUAUUUUAUUUUAUUAAAAAAGAAAACAAAAUAAUUUUAUUUAAUACUUCAUUUAAUGUUAUUUACUUACUUUCGUUUUUUUAUUUCCCUUUUUUGGUCAACAUUACAUAGGUUUUAUUUUAUUUAUUUAUUCAUCUUUUUAUUUGAUCCUUUUAUUAAUUUUAACCGAUUAUUAUUGCAAUCUUAUUCUAUUAUUUAUUUUUUAUUUUCACGCAUUUUUAAUAUUUAGUUUUAUUAGUAUUGUUAUUUCGUUAUUGUUAUUGUUACAUUAUUACUUGCAUUAUUAUUAUUCAUAUAUUGGCACUAAUAUUUGUUAGUUUAAAUGUUGUAUGUAUAUGUUGACACCUUUUUUUGGAUGAAAACGGGGUCGACUUGGGUUUUGAAAACGAAAAUGAAAAAAACGGGAGUCGCCACCAAUCAUUUUUUAUAAGGUGUGAUUGGAUCACCUCGAAAAGUGGUUGUUUUUAAUAAAAGAUUUGAUUUUAUUAAAACCACGAGUUUGGUCCACGAAAUUCAAAAAAAUGGGUUCGGGAGUCGGUUACGCACGAGGAAGGAUUAGCACCCUCGAUACGCCCAAAAUUGGUACCUAGUUGAUUACUUAAUGUCUUAGUGUCGAAAAACUGAAAACUUUAAAGAAAUUUAAAAUACGAUCCUUAUUUUGAAAGAAAAUUUAUAAAAAUCGAGCUGCUCGUUAAGACUUUUUAUUUCAGAAAGAGAAAAUGUCACACCCAAUACGUUAGGGUACGAUAUCUUAUCUCUUCAGAAAUGAGCAAGUCUAAACUCACAUAGAAAAGUUUAAAAGAGUGUUUGAUUGUUUAAGUCAUAAAAAAAAUUGUAACCCAAUACGUUAGGGUAUAAUUUCUUCAAAUGUUAAACAUUGAAUAUUUUAUUUAUUUUGAAAAAUUCUCGUCUCGAAGAAUCAACGUAUCAUGUCCAAUGCAUUAGGACACGACGUAUUGAAUUCUCGAUAAUAAGUUUUAUUUAUGUCCUUUUUUAAAAAAGAUUAACCUCGAUUGUUUAGAUUCAACGAAGAAAAUCAAAACCCAAUACGUUAGGGCUCGAUUCUUUCGAGGAUCUCAAAUACCGAUUGUUACUUUUAUUUUGAAAUUUUCCGUUUUUUGAUAAAUCCAAGUAGAAGUAGGUGUAAAAUAACAAUAAUGAUGCAACAUAAAUAAAAUAAUACAAGCAAAAUAAGAAAAGAUAAAUAAAUAAAAUGUCAAACAUAUAAUAAAAGGAAAUCAAUAAUUAAAAGUAAACAAAUAAAAAAAAUUAAAGCACUUAAAUAAAAUAAUAAUGAUAAUAAGCAUGUAAAUUAAAACAUUCGUUCAAAAUAAUAAUGAAAAUGAAAUAAAUAAAUAGUAAAUACAAAAUAAAACAAUAGUAAUGAAUAAAAAUAUAAUAUAUAUGUAUUUAUGUUAGAAUUAUAAAGUAUUAAAAUAUACAUAUGUAUAUAAGAAUAUGUAAGCAUGUAUAUAUACAUAGAUUAUAAAAUAUAGAUAUGCAUAUAAAAAUAAGUAUUUGUAUUAAAUAAGUUGAAAAAAAUAUAUAUACGUAUAUAUAUAAACAAUUAUAUAAUAAUCAUAAUAUAAUAAAACAAAUAUAUCUAAAAUUUACAUAAGUAAAUAUAAAUAAAAACAUGACAAUAAUAACAAUAAUAUUAAUAAAUAUACUAAUAACAAUAGUGAAGAUGAUAAUAAUAAUAAUAAAAUAAUGAAGAAAAUAAAAAAACUAAAAAGGGGACUAAAUCGAAAUAAAAACAAAAAAUAGGCGAAUUUGAAAUAAAAAAAGACGGGAAGAACCAAAUUGCGACGCGCGCUGAAAGAGGGGGGACCAAAAUUGUAAAUAAACCAAAGUCCCAAAACGCUACGCUGCAAUGGACCAAAUUGAGACAAAAAUAAAAAUUAUGGGGCUAAAUUAAAAAUAACAGAAAAUAGCGAAGAGGGCCGAAUUGCAACGCGCUUCAAAGUCGGAGGGACUGCGCGUGCAAAUAUCCCAUUUAAAGAAAACACGCGGAUCCUCCCCCUGGAUCGGGUCACCGCGCGGGUCAGAGAAGCCUAAAACGAUGCCGUUUUGUGGGGGUUAUUUAAACCCAAACUUCUGAAAAAAAACCACUCCAGCCACCAAAGAAAGAAAGAAAAAAUUUAAAAUAAAAAAACUCCCUAUUCCUCUCAAAAGUCCGGCCUUUCGGUCAUAUCAGCGCCGCCAUUGCGCCACCACGGGCGGUGGCCGACCUCGCGCAAAGGCGGUGUUCUAGACCCCGUUUUUGGACCCAAUCAAAGGCUAUACUCACUUAGCCCGAAGGCCAAGUGGAAGGGCCCCUCAACUCGACCUUUCGGGGCCAAUUUCCUCGACGGACAGACUCCGACGGCGGCGCAACCGAAAGGAGAAACGGUAAGUUUUCUUCCCUUUCCUUUUAAAUCGUUUUUAUAGAUAUAUAGAAAGAAAAUAAAAAAAGUAAAUAAAAUAUAAAAAAACGAACAGAUCUAUAAGACAAAAAAUAUCACCUUAAAUUUUUUCUAUUCUCUGUUUUUUUUGUUACAGAAAUUGCUAGAAAAAGAAAAGGGUUACAUUUUGUUGGCUUUUAUAGCCGAUUUUUGUUACUGUUUUGGUCGCUUCUAUUGUUUUCUUUGUUUUUGUUUCUUCUUUGCAGGUGACGGCGCAAGUGGAGGGUUGACGUGACUGCGGGCGGCGCCGAUGGGACGGUGGCGGCGUCAGAAGGCCAAGGGUCAAAGGCUAAGGAGGAGGGCGGCGCCUAGGGUUUCAGAAACUGAAACCCUAGACAGAUAUUUUUUUAGGAGAUUGGGCCUUAAACAUUGGGCCUCGGGUUUGGGUUGCAUUGGGCUCCGGGGUUGGGUUCAAAUGUAAAUGGGUUUUUGGUUUAAUUGCUUUGGGCUGAGGGUUAAUGGGUUAAUUUAAUUGGUUUGGUGUAUUGGUAAGGUUAAUUGGGUUGUAUUGGGUUUUGGGCUAAAAUUGGGCUUGUACAUCUGUCCCUCUUUGCUCGUUGUCGUGUAACGAUAACAGAGCAAAGACUAAGAAAGACCAAUUUUUGCCCGGUCUUGCCGAGGAAAUAAGAUUCGCCGUUGCGGUUUCAAUAUUUUGAAUUGCAAUGUCGGGGAAGUGAGAUUCGCUGUUGUAGCUUCAAUCUGCUCCGCUGCAUCACCUGGGAAGUAAGAUUCACCGUUGUGGCUUCAAUCUUUUGAAUUGCAAUGUCGGGGAAGUGAGAUUCGCCGUUGUAGCUUCAAUCUGCUCCGCUGCAUCGCCUGGGAGUAAGAUUCACCGUUGUGGCUUCAAUCUUUGAAUUGCAAUGUCAGGGAAGUGAGAUUCGCCGUUGUAGCUUCAAUCUGCUCCGCUGCAUCGCCUGGGAAGUAAGAUUCAUCGUUGUGGCUUCAAUCUUUUGAAUUGCAAUGUCGGGGAAGUGAGAUUCGCCGUUGUAGCUUCAAUCUGCUCCGCUGCAUCACCUGGGAGUAAGAUUCACCAUUGUGGCUUCAAUCUUUGAAUUGCAAUGUCAGGGAAGUGAGAUUCGCUGUUGUAGCUUCAAUCUGCUCUGCUGCAUCGCCUGGGAAGUAAGAUUUACCAUUGUGGCUUCAAUCUUUGAAUUGCAAACUAUGGUUUCUUCGAUCUGCUUCACUGUCAGUACAGGAAAGCAAGAUCUGCAACUUCAUUGGUCUGUUCUCUAGGGAACAUGACUUGUAUGUUCUAUUUUAUGAACCUAAUUAUGCCUAGUGUUUAGGAUGACAUGAUCAGAAUGAAUCAAAUGCUCCUAACUAGAUGCGCAUGAAUGACAUUUUAAUGAAUGCUGAAUGUCAUGAAGAUGAUUCCUUAAUGUUUGAGUUGUUAUUGCUCAUUGCUCAAUCAGGCUUUACAGCCAACACGUACAAAUGCUAUCUUGUCCGGUUGGUAAUGCUCAUCCCUUACUUGGUCGAAUUUCCCCCAUUAUAAUCUUCAAGGUUCAAUCCACUGGAUACAAAAAUUGGAAUCAUCUUUCUCCCUCUGUAACCCAAGGAUAGAAAGACCUAGCCCUUUUCUCGAUCCUCUGUUAUCAUAAUUCAAUGAUACAGAAUGUGAAACUCUUCGGUCUCCUACACCAUUCCCAAGGUGUUAUUACAAAUGUUUAUGCACAAUGAAGAAUUUUCCUCUCCCAGAAGACCUUUUCUUAUUGCUUGGUGAACAUCGCUUGUUUAUUCUUUGAAGUCUUGUCACCAACACGACAUCUUGUCAUUUUGUUUUAUCCAUGUUUGGACAACAAAUUUUGAAAGGAUAGUCUUGACUUAAACCUUUUCCUUUUAGACGCUUUAAAUUUGGUGUGUUCUAUGCAACAGUCCUGUUUCAGGUUCCUUCAUUAUUUAGAAAUUUCUAGAGUAAUAUGCAAAACUCUAUUUGCUUGAACAUUCAGUCCAUUGAAAGAUUAUCGCAACAAACAAACAAAAUGUUAUUGAGAACAAAUCUUGAAAUGAAUGAGUUAAUCAAGAUAACAAAUUUUGUUAAGAUAAGAUGAAAAAAAAGACAAUAAACAAAAUGUAAUUUUAUUGGGGAACAAAGCUUGAAAUGAAUACAUUAAUCAAGACAACAAAUUUUGCCAAGAUUCAAAAUAUAAAAUGACAACAGGUGCCCCAGAUAUCGCAGCACGAGCUUCCCUGCAUAAGUUUUUCUAGAGACCAUUUAAUAUGUGUUUAGGGAAUCUACAGUAUUUUGUCAAUACCCCAAGAUAUCGCCUACCCUUUCUUGUGAUUCAGGUAUAGUAAGACCACCACAUGCCCCAGGUUUUGAUCAAAAUUUGAGCUGUUCCUUUCACCUCACAUUUCUUUAAAAUUUGAGCCGCCUUUUUCAGGUUUUCAACUCAAAUCCCCUUUGGUCUCAAGGCGCCCUUUAUGGGUUUUCACAUUGGCCUCUCCCUUUUUUUUGGAGUGCCCUUCAUAGGUUUUCACUUUGGUCCUUCCCUCUUCAAGUGAAAUAUUUCUUGACUGAAUCUGAGUUUACAGGAUUUGGCAGGCUUUUACCAUCCAUCUCGCUCAAGAUUAAAACUCCACCAGAAAAGGCCAUUUUUACCACAUAAGGACCUUUCCAAUUUGGCAUACAUUUUCCUCUAACAUCUUUUUGUAGAGGAAGAAUUUUUUUCAACACCAAGUCCCCCUCGUAAAAUUUUCUAGGACGAACUUUUUUGUUAUAGGCUCGCAUCAUUCGUUUCUGAUACAUCUGACCGUGACGAAUAGCUUUUAACCUCUUUUCUUCUACCAAGUUUAGCUGGUCAUAUCGAGAUUGAAUCCAUUCAGCCUCAUCUAACUUUAGUUCGGCUAAUACUCAGAGAAAAGAGAUUUCAACUUCUAUGGGUAAAACUGCCUCCAUCCCAUAGACUAAAGAAAAAGGAGUUGCCCCCGUAGAGGUCCUAACAGAGGUACGAUAUGCCAGAAGAGCGAAAGGUAAUUUCUCGUGCCAGUCUUUGUAGGUUUCAGUCAUUUUCCCUGCAAUUUUCUUGAUGUUUUUGUUAGCUGCUUCCACGGCACCAUUUAUUUUUCGGCGGUACGGUGAUGAAUUGUGGUGUCUAAUCUUGAACUGACUACAAAUUUCUGCUAUUAAGUUGUUAUUCAAGUUCAGCGCAUUGUCAGAUAUGAUCCUUUCGGGCAUCCCGUAUCGGCAUAUGAUCUCUUUUUUCAGAAACUCUCUAACUGCGGACUUCGUGACAUUUGCAUACGAAGCAUCCUCUACUCAUUUAGUGAAGUAAUCAAUAACCACAAAGAUAAAACGAUGUCCAUUAGAAGCCUUUAGGGAUAUUGGCCCAAUAACAUCCAUUCCCCACAUGGAGAAAGGCCAUGGAGAAACCAUAACGUGAAGGGGUGAAGGUGGUGCGUGCAUUUUGUCACCAUAAAUUUGACAUUUAUGGCACUUUUUGGCAUAAUUAAUGCAAUCCCCUUCCAUGGUGGACCAAUAAUACCCAAAUCUCAUAAUUUGUCUGGCCAUCGUGAAGCCAUUGGCAUGCAUUCUAUAGAUACCUUUCAUGCACUUCUUCCAAAAUUUUCUUAGCUUCGACAGCAUCCAUACAUCUCAACAAUACUUGAUCUUUUCCCCUUUUAUACUAGAUAUCCCCAUCUAGGACAUAAUCAAUGGCUAAUCUCCUUAAUGUCUUCUUAUCAUUUCCCGUCGCAUGGUCAGGGUACUUACGACUCUUCACAUAUCGCAAUAUGUCAUGAUACUAGGCGUGAUCAUCCUUUUCCCCUUCAUUGUCAAUGUUGUAACAAUGGGCUGGAGCCUCAUAAAUGCUGAUCUGGAUAGGCUUCAUAUCCUCUAGUUUGUUCACUUUGAACAUAGAAGCUAGGGUGGCCAAAGCAUCUACCUUCUGGUUCUCAUCUCGUGGAAGAUAGCUAAAGGUGACACUAUCAAAUUCUUCAAUCAAUUCCAUAACCAAUUUUCGAUAGCGGACUAACUUCAGGUCUCUUGUUUCCCAUUUCCCUUUGAGCUGGUAAAUUACUAAUGUAGAGUCCCCGUAUACCUCUAACACCUUAAUUUUCCGCUUUAUGGCUGCUCGGAUGCCCAUAAUGCAAGCUUCAUACUCAGCCAUGUUAUUUGUGCAAUCAAAGUCCAAUUUGCUAGUGAAAGGGUAAUGAUCUCCACUAGGGGACACGAGUACUGCCCCGAUUCCGUUGCCUAUAGCAUUUGAAGCUCCAUCAAAAUUUAGCUUCCAAAGACCACCUUCUUGGAAAUCUUUUUCUGCAGUUGGAACAUACAUCAAAUCCUCAUUUGGGAAAUCGAAGUUCAAUGGCUCAUAAUCUUCCAGUGCUCUACUUGUCAGGAAGUCCGCUAUUGCACUCUCUUUGACCGCCUUCUGGUUCACAUAGACUAUGUCAAAUUCAGAUAGAAGAAUUUGCCAUCGGGCCAUUCUUCCAUUCAGAGCGGUUGACUCCAUCAAGUAUUUUAAAGGGUCCAAUUUAGAGAUUAACCAGGUUGUAUGGUACAACAUGUACUGUCUCAGUCUCCGAGUUGUCCAGAUUAGGGCACAACAUAACCUCUUGAUUGGCGAAUAUCUUGUUUCGCAUUCGGUGAACUUCUUACUGAGAUAGUAGAUUGCUCUUUCUUUUCGUCCUGACUCAUCAUGUUGACCAAGCACGAAUCCCAUAGAAUUUUCAAAUACUGCCAAAUACAGUAUGAGCGGUUUGUCUAGGCAAUGUGGCAUCAGGACUGGGGCGUUGGACAAGUGAUGUUUGACUUUUUCAAAAGUUUUUUGACAUUCCUCAUCCCAUACACCUGGAUUGUGUUUCUUAAGGAGACAGAAUAUGAGAUCACAUUUCUCGGUUAAUUGUGAAAUAAACCGAGCGAUGUAGUUCAGUCUUCCUAGAAAACCUCGAACCUCUUUUUGAGUACGCGGCGGAGGUAAUUCUUGUAUUGCUCUUACUUUGUCAGGAUCAAUCUCAAUUCCUCUCUCACUGACCACGAACCCAAGCAAUUUUCCUGAUCUGACUCCAAAUGUGCAUUUCGCUGGAUUUAGCUUUAGCUGAAAUUUUCUCAACCUCAUAAAUAAUUUCUUAAGGACCUGCACAUGUUCCUCUUCUGUUUUAGAUUUUGCAAUCAUGUCAUCAACAUAGACUUCUAACUCCUUAUGCAUCAUAUCAUGGAACAGUGUUACCAUGACCCUCUGAUACGUUGCCCCUGCAUUUUUUAACCCAAAUGGCAUCACUUUAUAACAAAAGGUCCCCCAUAGGGUUAUGAAUGUAGUUUUCUUCAUAUCCUCAGGAUGCAUAUUAAUUUGGUUAUAUCCAAAGAAACCAUCCAUGAAAGAAAAUAACGAAUACCCUGCUGUGUUGUCUACCAGGGCGUCGAUGUACGGCAAUGGAAAGUUAUCUUUUGGGCUAGCCUUAUUUAAAUCUCUAUAAUCUACACACAUUCGUACCUUCCCAUAUUUCUUAGGGACAGGUACGAUAUUGGCUACCCACUUAGAAUAUUUGACCACUUGCAGGAAUCCAGCAUCGAAUUGCUUUUGCACCUCCUCUUUUAUUUUUAAUACAACAUCAGGCCUCAUUCUUCGGAGUUUUUGUUGAACGGGUUUGCAAUCUUCCUUUAUAGGAAGACGGUGAACUACGAUAUCAGUGCUUAACCCGGGCAUAUCUUGGUAUGACCAUGCGAAGACAUCUUUGAACUCUCGAAGCAACUCAAUGAGGUCUUGUUUUACUUCUUUAGCUAUGCAUGUACCAAUCUUCACCACUUUCCCUUCUUCCAGGAUCACCGUCUCUACCGUAUCCUCAUGAGGUAAGAUUUGUUUCUCUUCCUGCUCUACCAUCCUCAACAAGUCCGGAGAUAGGUUGCAAUCUAUGUUAUCUUCAAAAUCUCGAGAUUCCUCUAAACACAUAUCUCGUUCAAAAGGAUUUUCUAGGUCCGUAGUAGGGUCACUCAUGUCAUUGAUAUCUUGGGACCUAUUAUGAAUAUCAAAGAAUGUACAAGGAAUGUAUGAAUUCAAGGAUUCUUAUUUAGUAUGGUCAUGAAUGAAAGAAUGAUUUGGAAUAAAAACAUCCAAAAUAAUUAUUCAUACGAAAGAAUGAAAAGAAUCUUAAAAGAAUAUAUACUCAAAAAGAAAAUGCGAAGAUAUAUUUCAUUAAAGUCAAAAUGUUCCAAUAUAAGCCCAUUUCAUUUCACAAAAAGUUUUCAUUUUCUCUAGGCUUAAAACAAUUAGUUUGUUUUGAAUAUUACUCUGGAAAAGCUCCAAAAACUUCAAGCAUUUCUUCUGCAGUCCAAUUGCUUAAAACGCUCCCAGGUUCAAAGGGACAGAUGUUAGAGUAUGCCCAAAGAUCAAUCAUGAGAUGGUUGUAAUAACAUACUUGAUUUAUCAUGUUUAUUAAUAUAAGACGUUACCAUUAUUAUUUCAGUUUCUUUUCUAUGUGUAUAAAUAAAUUGUUUUCUAAUAAUGUCCUAAGAAUAAUAUGAUUAUUCUUAAAAUAUCCUUAGUCAAGUAUUAUUGUUGGAUAGGACAACAAUAAUGCAUAACAUGUAGUUGAUUGAUGAUAAAGAGUUAUCAUUGAUAUGGAAUAUCAGAAUCGAUGCAUGAAUAUGUGUGUUAGAGAACAACAUAUUGGACUAACCCAUUAUGAGUAUGUUUCUUGGAUUAUUAUGUAAUUGUCACGACAUUACUCAUAGUGAUUAAUAUGUAUAUGAUCCUCAGACUUGAGAUCAUCAUAAUCCCAACAUCGUGAGUAGUAUAUUUUGAUACAGUCAAACGUACACAGUAACUGGUUGUUCUAUAAAGGCUGGUGUUGGAUAUACCACAAUCGAUGUAGAGGGAUAUGGUUGGUCGAUAUAGAAUAAGUCCCUCCUACAUAAUGGGAGUAAUAUCUUAGGCCACUUGAUUAAGUGAGACUAGAAAUGCAUGGCCAUGCUCAAAUAAGUUGAUAUGAGAUGCCAUACUUAUUUGUAUAUCGUAGUCUGCUUAAAAUAUCAAGGAACAUGGAAUGGACUAUACAAGUGUGACUAUUCCAUGACUUGUGUCCAAUCCAGAGAUAAAGGACUUAAGGAUUAUUGCAUAAAAGGUUAAUCAUAAAAGGUUAUGUCGAAUCAUGAUCUCUUGUGACUUAGGUAGCAAUGAUGCAUUGCUAGAUGCCACUCAUUGUUUGUAACAUUGGAAUCGUUCUAGUAUUACUGCUAACGUUACAAGAACCUACAGGGUCACACCCUAUAGUUAAAAUGAACGAAAUAAACCAUAGUUGGUAUUGUUUUUAGGUGUCACUUGAAUUAAAUUAAUUAUAGAAUUAAUUUAAUUCGAUUUCCAACACAUUAUGUACAAGGUUGUUGUACACAUAAUGAGGUUAGCAUAUGAAUUCAAAUAAAUAUAUGGUUUACCGAAAUUAUAUUAUAAUUAAUGUAAUUAUAAUUUUCGGUUUAAAAUAUUAUUAUAUUUAUUUUAAUUCAUAAAUAAAAACCCUAAAAAAUAAAUAAUAAGGAUAUAAGUAUCCCGUUUUUCUUUGUUUUUGGUCUAGCAGCCGUCAAAGAAAAUUCUCUCUCAAAACUAUUUUGGGGAUUUCUUCCGUUCGUAGCCAACUGGGUGGAUCACGUAGAGGUCGGAGUCUCGAUAGAUUGCGACUUAGUUCGAUUGUAGAUCAGACUACACGUUGUUGAUAAGUUGCUGUCUACUAAGAACAGCAUUAAGUAAUUUCAUAACCCUUUUCACCCUGAUUCGUUCCUCACACAUGGAUUCGUGGUUAGGGUCGCCGAUUAUUAAAUUUUUCCACUGCACCGUAGGGGUGCCGGCGAUCCAACAACAGAUACCUGAUAUACUAUUUUCUUCAGAUUCUUCUUCAGAUAUGGCAUUGAUGUUCAGACUUCCUAACAUUUCCUCCGCGGUCUUCUUUCUUGGAAUCCUCAGUCCAGAAUACAUGGUUCCCCCUGACACGAAGGUCCUGGAUAUGUGGGGGAAAGUUAUGGGUUCCCAAUCAACUUUUUCUCCGUUUAAACAUGCCUUCCUCCUCUCUUAUCUUUUCUCCAACUCUUUCCUUCUUUGCUUAGCAUUUGGUUUAAAUCCUAAAGCAAAGCGGUCUUGUUUGUCCUUCAGUACUGGUGGCUCUAUCCUUCCUUGAAGGCAUCUUCCUAGUCCUCUUUCGGGCAUAGCUCCUUUCCCAACUGCCAUUUGUAGUCCCAUCCUCGUGGCUCUAGAUAUGCUGGGCAUCGGGAUCUUCUUCCCCUCAAUGACAGAGGUUGCAUUUACAAACUCUAAGGAUCGAAAAGAACAUUCGACCGCCUCAUCAUCUGUUCCCAAAUAUGGUGCGUCACUGGUUACCAAUGCAAUGAUGUCUUCCUCAGCUUCAAUAGUAACUAACCGGCCUUCUGUCACUAAUUUCAACUUCUGGUGCAACGAUGAAGGCACCGCCCCUGCUGAAUGAAUCCAUGGUCUCCCCAGCAAGCAAUUAUAUGAAGGCUUGAUAUCCAUCACUAAAAAAUCCACUUCGUAUGUAUUCGGGCCAAUCAAGAGGGGUAUUUCUAUUCUUCCCAUCACAUUUCUUUCAGUACCAUCAAAUGCUCUCACUAUGUUCUGACAUGAUUUCAUGUGAGAGCUAUCCACCGGUAACCUAUUGAAGGUGGACAGGGGUAAAACAUUUAGGGCUGAUCCAUUAUCAAUUAGCAUACCCAAUAACAUAUACUCCCCACAACGAGUAGUGAUAUGUAAGGCUUUGGUGGCUCCUCUUCCCCCCGAAGGUAUUUCAUCAUCAUUAAAGAAAACGAAAUUGUUGGCACCGAUAUUGUUAACCAAACGGUCCAACUUAUUCACUGAGAUAUCGUUAGCGACAUAAGUUUCAUUUAGCACCUUAAUCAACGCAUUACGAUGUAUCUCUGAAUUUAGAAGCUACCCAAUUUUUUAAAACCUUAAACGGCCCAAUUGGGCCCAAAAAUUAAACAACAUCAGGGAUCCCUAGGGUUCCUUGCCUUUCCUUGCGCCGCUACUGCCCAUGUUCACUUUCAGCAUGCACAACGCCCGAGGUCUGCCAUCGCCAGCCAAGCCUGCACCAAAAUGGCAAGCCAAUCCGAUGCCCGCAAAAGAAAACCUACAAACAAGCAUGAAAGAAGGACGAGCAGAACAAAAAGCAGAAACAGUAAAAAUUAUAAAAAAAAGUAUUCUCUUUCAGCUUUAUAAGCCCAGAAACAAAACGAUGUAAAGGGGGGAAUUUUUUAUGAAAAGAGAUUGAAAAAAUAGAAUACAAAAAGAGGUGAUUUUUCGUUUCUUAUUAUUUUGUUCUUAUUAUUUUUAUUUAACUUUCAGUCAUAUAUAUUAUAUAUUAGAAAUAGAAAGAAAACUUUCUAAUAGAGGGACGGAUUCAAACAUGAAACGAAAGAAAAAGAUAGAUAAAGGAAGAGGAUAAACGAAAGCAAAGCUUUUGCACGGAUUCAAAGCCGUUUUAUUCCUCCUUUCUUUUUUUGUUUUGUUUCUUUUUUAGAAAAAAAAUACAUACAUACGAGUUUUAUAUAUGUCUAUAAAAAAACCGAGACAACUUAUCUGGGGUUUGACUGCCGAACGCUGCGGUGGCGUGGUGACGAUCGACAAACUAGCGGCGCUGAGGCAGGAGCUUGAAACCCUAACAGAAAAGAGCAUUUGAUUUAUUUUUUUCGUUCACAGCAGGCUGAUUUUUUUUUAAAAAAGGUGUUGCUUUUAUAAAGUGAAAGAAAUAGUGCCGUAUCAGCAAAUGGCCCAACCCGAUGAUCUGACCCGAGCGGGAUCAGAUCCGCGUAUUCUGGGUCUGUGAGGGAUAUUUUCCCUAUUGAUCCCUCGUUCUUUUCCCUUUUCUUAAUUUCAUUCGUUUAUUUUUUUAUUUACCCUAUCUAUUUUGAGCCUAUUCAUUUGGGUCCACGCCGCAGCACAGCGUUUUGGGGCUGGGGAUAUUUUCCUCUUUAAUCCCCAUGUAAUCCGCAUAUUGCACUUUAACCCCUCGUCUUGGUUAUAACUCUAUUCUUUUCUUGUUAAUUUAGAUUUGAUGGCACGGGCCAUUUUGGUAUGUGGCAAAGUGAGGUUCUAGAUGCCCUUUUUCAGCAGGGUCUAGACAUUGCCAUUGAUGAAGAGAAACCAGAUGAUGUACAGGAGAAAGAUUGGAAGGCGAUCAAUUGGUUGGCAUGUGGCACAAUUUGAUCAUGCCUUUCUCGAGAGCAGAGGUAUGCUUUUUCAAAGGAGACUUCUGCAAAUAAGUUGUGGGUGGCACUUGAAGAAAAUUUUUUGAAGAAAAACAGUCAAAAUAAGCUCCACUUGAAGAAAAGACUGUUUCGCUUCACAUACGUCCCAAGUACCACAAUGAAUGAUCACAUCACCAAAUUUAAUCAGUUAGUCACUGAUUUGCUGAAUAUGGAUGAGACAUUCAAAGAUGAAGAUUUGGCUUUGAUGCUGUUGGGGUCACUUCCUGAGGAGUUUGAGUUCCUAGAAACUACUCUACUUCAUGGCAGGAGUGAUAUAUCUCUGAGCGAAGUCUGUGCGGCCUUAUACAGUUAUGAACAGAGAAAGAAGGACAAACAGAAAAACUCAAUCAGAGAUACAGAAGCUUUAGUAGUCCGAGGUCGUUCAUACACUCGGAAGAAAACUCAAAAGGGGAGAUCAAAGUCAAAGUCCAGACUCGGGAAAGAUGAAUGUGCUUUUUGUCAUAAGAAAGGCCACUGGAAGAAAAAUUGUCCAAAGCUGAAGAAUAAGGGAAAAGCUGCUGUAGAUGCUUGUGUUGCUAAGCAUGAUACUAGUGACUCUGAACUAUCACUGGUUGCAUCAUCAUCGUCGUUCCAUUCAGAUGAGUGGAUAUUGGAUUCGGGUUGUACCUAUCAUAUUCCCUUAAUCGGGAGUGGUUCUCUGAUUUAGUAGAACUAAAUGGAUGAGUUGUUUAUAUGGGCAAUGACAAUGCCUGUAAAACUGUUGGGAUAGGUUCAAUCCAAUUAAAGAAUAAAGAUGGAUCAACCAGAGUUCUGACUGAUGUUCGGUACGUGCCCAGUUUGAAGAAAAAUCUCAUCUCAUUGAGAGCCUUGGAAUCCAAUGGUUCAGUUGUUACUAUGAGAGAUAGGAUUUUGAAAGUGACAUCUGGCGCACUUGUGAUAUUGAAGGGCAUCAGGAAAAAUAACUUGUAUUACUACCAAGGUAGUACAGUUAUUGGAGCAGUCGCUGCAGCUUCCGGCAACAAAGAAUUGGACUCAAUACAGUUGUGGCAUAUGAAGUUGGGACAUGCCAGCGAAAAAUCCUUACAAAUUCUGGCAAAGCAAGGAUUGUUGAAAGGUGCAAAGGCUUGCAAAUUAAAAUUUUGCGAGCAUUGUGUUCUGGGAAAGCAAAAGAGAGUGAAAUUCGAUACUGCUAUCCAUAAUACAAAAGGUAUUUUGGAAUAUGUUCACUCAGAUGUGUGGGGGCCUUCUAAGACACCUUCAUUGGGAGGAAAACACUACUUUGUUACUUUUGUUGAUGACUUUUCCAGAAGAGUUUGGGUGUAUACCAUGAGAACUAAGGAUGAAGUGCUUAGAGUUUUUUCUUAAAUGGAAAACUAUGAUCGAAAACCAGACUGGCAAGAAAAUCAAGCGGCUUAGGACGGACAAUGGAGGGGAAUAUAAAAGUGAUCCGUUCUUCGAUGUGUGCCAAGAGUAUGGUAUUGUUCGACACUUCACAAUUAGGGAUACACCACAACAGAAUGGAUUGGCAGAGCGUAUGAAUCGAACAUUGUUGGAGAAACUUCGAUGUAUGUUGUCCAAUACUGGGUUGGGCAAGCAAUUUUGGGCUGAGGCUGUGACAUACGCUGGCCAUCUUGUUAAUCGUUUGCCAUCAUCUGCAUUAGAAAGAAAAACUCCUAUGGAGGUAUGGUCUGGAAAACCGGCUACAGAUUAUGAUUCCUUACAUGUGUUUGGAACCACUGCAUAUUACCAUGUGAAGGAGUCAAAGUUAGAUCCGAGGGCAAAGAAAGCUCUCUUUAUGGGAAUCACUUCUGGAGUGAAGGGAUUUCGUCUUUGGUGCUUAAGCACAAAGAAAAUGAUCUGUAGCAGAGAUGUUACCUUUGAUGAAUCUGCCACAUUGAAAAAGGUAGCAGAUAAAGAUAUUCAGACGAGCAAUACUCCACAGCAGGUGGAGUGUACUCCAAAACAGGUGGAGUUUGAGCAGAUGGGGAUUUGCCCAGUUAAUAAGUCUAAUUCUCCAGCCACAAUGGAGGAAUUAGAGGUUGAAGAGGUUCUGACCCAAGAACCACUAAGUACACCAGAACCAGUUGCAGUUGCAAGGCCACGGAGAGAAAUUCGUAAACCUGCUCGAUUUACUGAUAUGGUGGCCUACGCCCUUCCCGUUGUUGAUGAUAUUCCUAUCACUUAUCAAGAAGCAAUGCAAAGCUUAGAAAGUGAUAAAUGGAAAAGCGCCAUGGAUGAAGAAAUGCAGUCUCUCCGGAAGAACAAUACUUGGGAGUUGGCGCAAUUACCGAAAGGUAAAAGGGCAAUCGGAUGCAAGUGAGUAUUCGCAAAGAAAGAUGGAUCUCCUAGCAAGAAGGAUAUUCGCUACAAGGCAAUAUUGGUAGCUAAAGGCUACGCUCAGAAGGAGGGAAUUGACUACAAUUAUGUAUUUUCCCCUGUUGUGAAGCAUUCCUCCAUUAGAAUUUUGUUGGCCUUGGUAGCACAGUUGAAUUUGGAGCUAGCUCAACUUGAUGUUAAGACGACUUUCUUGCAUGGUAAGUUAGAAGAGGAGAUCUAUAUGACUCAGCCCGAAGGAUACACAGAUGCUGGUGGUAGAAAUUGGGUUUGUAAGCUUAACAAAUCGCUAUAUGGAUUGAAGCAAUCCCCGAGGCAGUGGUACAAGCGAUUUGAUAGCUUUAUGAGAAGGCAGAAGUACACAAGAAGCAAAUAUGACAAUUGUGUAUAUUUGCAGAAGCUGCAUGACGGAUCUUUCAUUUAUCUACUCUUGUAUGUUGAUGAUAUGUUAAUCGCUUCAAAGAGCCAAAAUGAGAUAGAUAAGUUGAAGGCUCAGUUGAAUCAAGAGUUCGAGAUGAAAGAUCUAGGUGAGGCCAAGAAGAUUCUCGGCAUGGAGAUAAGUAGAGAUAGACCAAGAGGCAAGCUCUGUUUAAAUCAGAAGCAAUAUCUGAAAAAGGUAUUACAAUAUUUUGGUGUAAAUGAAAACACAAAACAUGUAAGUACCCCACUUUCUUCUCAUUUGAAACUUAGUGCUCAAUUAUCUCCGAAGACUGAAGAUGAAAGAGAAUAUAUGGCGAAAGUCCCAUAUGCUAAUGCAGUUGGGAGUUUGAUGUAUGCGAUGGUGUGUACGAGGCCUGACAUUUCACAAGCUGUUGGAGUUGUGAGCAGGUAUAUGCAUGAUCCUGGAAAAGGACAUUGGCAAGCUGUGAAAUGGAUUCUACGGUAUCUUCGAAAAACCGUAGAUGUUGGUUUAAUUUUUGAACAGGAUGAAGCACUUGGUCAGUUUGUAGUUGGAUAUGUUGAUUCCGACUUUGCUGGUGAUUUAGAUAAACGUCGUUCAACUAUGGGGUAUCUGUUUACUCUUGCGAAAGCCCCAGUGAGUUGGAAGUCUACCUUACAGUCUAUAGUAGCUGUGUCUACUACAGAGGCAGAAUAUAUGGCAGUUACAGAAGCUGUUAAGGAGGCUAUUUGGCUUAAUGGAUUGUUGAAAGACUUAGGAGUUGUUCAAAGUCACAUAAGUUUAUAUUGUGACAGUCAGAGCACUAUUCAUUUAGCGAAAAAUCAAGUCUAUCAUUCAAGAACCAAGCAUAUCGACGUAAGAUAUCACUUUGUGCGGGAAGUCUUUGAAAAAGGAAAAAUUCUACUUCAGAAGAUUCCGACAGCAGAUAAUCCCGCAGAUAUGAUGACCAAGGUGGUAACAACAAUCAAGUUUAAUCAUUGUUUGAACUUGAUUAACAUCCUGAGAAUUUGAGCACCUACAGGUGUAUGGCGCUCGAGAGCGCAUUUAGAGGCACUACAAAAGAUAACUUUAUCGAAUUUGGGGAGUUGAAGGAAGUGUGUGAAGAUGUGAUUAUCCUAAUCAAAUCUUCAAGGUGGAGAUUGUUGAAAGGUCAACAAAGGUAGGAAGCAACUUGUUAAAAAGGUUGAGCAAGUUGCACCGAAUGUUGAAAAGUUGAAUGGGAUAAUUGCAAUUUUGGUCCUUAAUUUUUUAGGCCAUUUGCAAGUUAGUCCCUGAAGUUCAACUAUAAAUAGGCCUUUUCAUUUUUCAUUUCAACCAUCCCAACCAAUCUUUCUCUCUUAGUUUUCUCUCUUCUCCCAUUUGAGAAUUCUUAAGGAAUUCUAUUUGUUUGUAAUACUUUGGAGAUAGUAAAGUUAUCAUCUGGUGUUAGUGCCCGAGGACGUAGGUAUAAUUUACCGAACCUCGUUAAAACUCUUAUGUUCUUUUUGUCCUAUUUUUCUUUCAAUAUUUGAGGGUAUAAUAGUAGUAUUUAAUUGUGCUAUUAAAUUACUAUAGAAGGGAUAUUCUGACUAAGGAAAGACUUGGUAUUUAAGAGAUCCAUGUGAUCCACCUCUCUUCCCUGGGAAUUGAACUUUGUGUGAUUUUUAGUACAAUAAUUUACACGCUUCCGACCCUAUUGGAACAACAGAAAGGUUCAUGACAACACAUGUUGAUUUUGAUGUUAAAGGUAAAAAUUUCGAGUACAUGCCGUUUAGUUUCGGUAGAAGGUCGUGUCCUGGAAUGACGUUUGGGUUGCAAGUUGUGCACUUGACGGUGUCGAAAUUAAUUCAGGGAUUUGAUAUUAGGGUGGCGGAGGGGACCGCGGUGGAUAUGGAAGAAGGCUUGGGAUUUGCCUUACCUAAGUUGAAUCCUCUUGAAGUUGUAUUAUCGCCACGCCUUGGAACUGAGUUUUACGAAUGCCUUUAAGAUGGUGAAAAAUAUAUACUAGAAAUUUAGCGUUUUAUAUUUUGAUUAAAUAAUUAUUGGAUGUGAUAAUGGCAUGGUGAUACAGCUUUUAGUUGAGCAUUAAAUAAGUUUACUGAAUGCACUUGGGAAUAAAUGUAAGCACAUUAUUAAAUUUUAAAGUCGAUAUUAGUAAAAAGAUUUUAUUUGAAUAUCAUGUUUAAUUGGAAUAAAAUUAGACCCGAAAUCUAUAACAAAUUACAACACUUAUGCUUAUAGCCGAGAUAUUCUCAUGAACUACCUGGUUGAAGAAAAGUGUGUUUGACAUUGCCAGGUAAAAUUAUUGUAAGGGAUUGAAAUGUUAAAAAAAAUGUUUAAAAUAAUAAAAGUCUAGUUAUGUAUAUGGUGUUAUAUAUGUGCAAGAUUGAGAGUACUUAUAUUGUUUAUUAUAAUUGUCGAAACCAUUUUUUUGAAAACAAAAAUUUAGGUUAUCGACUUAAAAAAAUAAAAAUUGGAGUCGCCACUGAUCCUUGAUUGAGGUGUGAUCGGCUCACCUUAAAAAUGAUUUUGGUCUGCGAAAUUUGAGAAAACAGGUUCGGGGGUCAGUUACGCACGAGGAAGGGUUAGCACCCCCAUAACGCCUAAAAAUCGGUACCAAAUUGAUUAUUUAAUGUCUUAGUGUUGAGGGUUAAAAAGAUUUAAAAAAAAACUCAAAUGAUGAAAUCUGAAAAUGAUAAUCAAUUGUUCAAGUUAGAUAAAGAAAUUGAGACCCAAUACGUUAGGGUACAAUUUCUCAAAACCCCCCCGAACUUUGAAUAUCGCUCUUUUGUUUUUAAAGAAAAUCUUCAUUUCGAGAAGGCAAUAUGUCAUGCCCAAUACGUCAGGACAUCACAAAUUAAGUUCCCGAAAAUGAUUUUCACUUAUACAUUUUGAAUAACGAAUAUUCUCGGUUAUUUGGAAUUAACAAAGAAAAUCGGAACCCAAUACGUUAGGGCUCAAUUUCCUCACUACACCAGAAUAGGCUUUUAGCGGCACUUUUUGCGGCGUUUGGAACAAAAGCGCCACAAAAAAUCGAGCAUUAGCGGCGAUUGAUGAGCCGUAUGUAUUUUCUUCUCAAGUCAAACAAGUUUUUUACUCAAAAGACCCAACUGAUGAGGGUUGGUACGUUGUACUCCAUAACAUCCCUAGAGACUUGUUUGACAUGGGCAGUGGAAGUAGAGAUGACAUUGACGACAGAACACAAACUUUGCCAUUUCCAGAACAGAACUUAAACGAAAACAUCCCUGGUACUAGUACACAAUUUCAAUGGGUCCGCCAGGAUACGGAUGAAAAGACUUACGAAUUAUAAUGUAGUAAGCUUUUACGAUUAUCUAAUUACAUCUACGAAUGAUGAUAUUUCAACUAUUUUAUAUGUGAUAUUAUUGUUGUAAUUGUAUACUAAGUUUUCAACUAAUUUAUUUGUAUUGCAGAUAAAAUGCCUAGAAGAAAAGUGCGAUCGCACCGCAUUGUUCAAGGUACUCCAAACUCGGCGGAAACAAACAACACUGAACAACAGACUGCUAUUGGAUCUUCGAAUGUUCUGGUUACACCUGAGGAACCUAUAGAAGUUCAAAGUAAUUUAACAUUUAAUUUACAUGUGUGUUGACUUCUUGUUUUUUUUUAAAUUUCGUAUAUUACAAUACUUUUAUUUUUCAGAUGAAAUUGGUGGGACGCGGAGAGGUCGCGGACGUACGGUAUUGAGCGAUUUAUACGACCUAGAUCCAGUCGAGCGUGUCCAAGUAUCCAGUAAUAGCUUUGGUCAGCCUGUUGGAUCAGAAGCUCGCCUUUUAGCAGGAUACAUGGGCAUUCUAGCACGGAAUGCAAAUAUGUUGCCAAUUAACUUCGACUCAUGGCAUAAAGUGCCCGAGAGUAACAAGAACCAAGCUCUCGAUAACAUUAAGGUAACAAAACGUGUAUGUCAUUUAUAAUACUUGGGUUUAAGUUUCGUUUACAUUUACUUUCUUAAGUUGUGUUUUUUGUAGGCGAGAUUUGCUCUAGAGGUCUCCGAUGCUUAUGUAAAGAAGGCAUUGGGAAAAAGAUGGAGAGACCAUAAGAGCAUUUUAAAGAAAGACUAUUUUAAGACAAAAACAACACUGGACGAGAGAUUACAAAAUGUCCCGCCGGGAAUGCUGAGGUACCAGUGGGAAGAGGUCGUUAGAUUUUGGGCUUCAAAGAAAGGAGAGGUAUGUGUAACUUAUAAAAUUUUGAAAUUAUUUUGGUGUAUAGUAUUUCCUAAUUAAUGUACUAAUAAUUUCAUAAUGUAGGAUCGUGAAGAAGUAGGAAAAAAAAGUAGGCAGCAACAAAAAUUCACUCACACAGCUGGGUCGAAAAGUUUUGGGUGUGUAGCUCAUGCAGAGGUAUUUUCAAUUUUUAUAUAUUGGAGGAUGAUAACUACUUACUUACAUUAAUAUUUUUACUAUUGUAUUGUAGGAACUGUCAUCCGGUAAAAAAGUUGGACGCCUUCAACUUUUUGACAUUACACAUAGGAAGAAAGAUGGAAACCAUAUGACUCUUGAAGCUGCAGAAAUUAUGGUACGUUUGCUUAAUUAAUACAAUUUCACUUGUUUUAAUUAUUUAUAGUGUUUAUUUUCUAAUGAUUUAUUUCAUUUAUUGUAAUGCAAAUAUUGUUAAGUUAUGUUGCAUUGGGUUUUUUAAUAUAUAUUGCGUCCCUAACUAUUUGAUUUAUUUUUUAGGAAAAAUUAAGGAUAAAAAGGCGGAGUACGAAGCGAUUGCUUCCAGUGAUAGUUCUAUUCAUAUUGAUGACAUUGAUAACCGGAUUAUCACUGAAGUUUUGGGUCCUGAAAGGUAUGGUCGGGUUCGAUUUCGAGGAUCUUUUGUUAACCCAUCCCAAUUUUUUGGAUCUAGCUCACAACAAUAUAUGCCUUCGGGGAGUCGAGCCGAAGCUGAAGUUCAGAGGUUAAGAGACCAGAUGGAUCAUAUGCAAGCGACAACAAUUGAGCAAAUUACACAACUUAAAGCGGAGGCAACAUCGAGAGAAGCUGAGGUUCAAAAAAGAUAUGAAGAACUCCAGCUACAACUGAAAGCAGAUGCAGCAGCGAGAGAAGCUGAGGUUCAACGAAAGUAUGAAGAACUCCAGCAGCAGCUUAAAGCAGAUGAGGCAGCAAGAGAAGCUGAGGCCGCAGCGAGAGAAGUACAGGAUGCAGCGAGGGAAGCAGAAGCUAAAGCGAGGGAAGCAGAGGCUGCAGCGAGGGAAGCAGAGCAGCGUCAAAAGUUCGAUGAACUCCAGCAGCAGCUUCAAAGUAUGAUGAAGAUGUUUCAGCAGUCGCAACAGUCGCCGUCUUAGACUAUAGUGUAAAUAUACUUCGAUUUUGACUUUUAAUUAUCAUUUUAACUUUUAACAUUUUUGUAAGAAUAAUAUGAUUUUUAUUUUAUUUAUUGAUAUUUAUUAUAUUAUUUGUUUAAUAUAUUGAUUUAUUACUUUUGGCUGGUUUAGAUAUGAUUUCUUUUGAUUUGUUUUUACAGGAGGGCUGAAAAUAUAAAAAAUUUAAUUUUACAAAUCUGCCAAAUUUAGUAGCGUUUUUAAAAAAAAAACGCCACUAAAGGUGUUGGCCUUUAGUGGCGUUUUUGGUCAAAGCGCCGCUAAAGAUAAGGGUCUUUAGCGGCGUUUGUGGAAAAAGCGCCACUAAAGAUCAUAGUCUUUAGUGGCGUUUGUGGUCAAAGCGCCGCUAUAGAUCAGGGUCUAUUGAGGCGUUUGAGGGGAAAGCGCCGCUAAAGACCCUGAUCUUUAGUGGCGUUUUUGGGAGAAGCGCCACUAAAGAUAAGGGUCUUUAGCGGUGCUUCCACUAAAGCGCCGCUAAAGGUCUUAGUCUUCAGCGGCGUUUGUGCAAGAUGCACCGCUAAAGAUCAGGGUCUUUAGCAGCGCAUUCAUUAGCGGCGUCUGUUGCGGCGCUUUUAAAAGCGCCGCUAAAAGUAUCUGCGGCGCUAAAGGCCUAAAAAAGCGCCGCUAAAAGCCUGUUUUGGUGUAGUUCCUAACUUUGAAUAUCGUUUUUAUUUUAAAAACCUUUGGCAAAAUCAAAAUAUAUUUUUAAAACAUAUGUUUAAAAAAAAUGAAUGCAAUAUGAAACAAAUAUUUUAAUUUUAAUCAUAUGUAUACAUAAGUAUGACAUAUAAAUAAUUUUUGCAAAUAUGUAUAUGGAUAUGAGAGGAAAAAAUGCAUAAAUUUUAUAAAAUGUCAAUGCAUAUAUCUAUAUGAAUACAUAAGUCAUAAGAAUAAAACGAUAAUAAAAUACACAUAAAAUAUAUUCAUGUAUUUAUAAAAAAAUGUAUAAGCAUAAUAUAUUGGUAAAUAUAAAAAUAUAUAUUUAUAUUUAUAAUAAGUUUUGAAUAGAGUAUAAAUAUAUAUGUACAUAUUAUAAAAAUGUAUAAACAUAUACAAAUUAUAAAACAUGGGAAACGUAUAAAUGUUAUAAAAUAUAAAUGUAUAUACAUAUAUAUAAAAACUAUGAAAAUAAAAUAAUAAAUAGAAAAAAAUAUGUAUAGGUAUUUAAAAAAAUUUUAAAAAUAUAUAUAUUAUAAAAUACUCAUGCGUGUAUAUGUGUAAGUAUAAUAAUAAUAUAAUAAUGAUAAUAAUAAUAAUUAUUAUAAUAAUUAUAACCACUAUAUUAAUAAAAUAAACUAAAAAAAAAAAUUAAAACGAAAGAUCAUGGAUUAAAUUGAAAAUAACUGAAGCUUCAGGGGCAAAUUUGAAAUAAAUAAAACAUCAAUGGAUCAAAUAGAACAUGCAGUUAACAGUGGAGGACCGAAAGUGAAAUUAAUCCAAACCUCCCAAAACUCCACGCAACAAUGGAUUAAAAUAAAACAAAUUCAGCAUUUCUUGGAAAAAUUUGAAAACAAACAACAAUGAUUUUGAAAUGAUGGGAUAAAAUGGAAGGAUUAAAAACGUAAAUAUCCCAUCAGUGCUUAAAACCCUUUUCAAUCUCAAAUUUAAACGCUAUUCUGCAGCAGCAAUAGCCGUAAAAACUGUUUCAUCUCCUUCCCAACUCUUCACGCCAAAACCUUUAACUUUGAUUUGGACAAAACGAAGCAAACGAUGCCGAUGGCGCGCCUCUGCUGGCAAGAAUCUCCUCCCUUUCUUUUACUUUUCAUUUGUUUCCAAAAAAAUGAAGUAAAAUACAAAAAAAAAUAUGAGACAAAAAAAAUAGAAACAGUAAAAACUUGGAAAGAACAAAUCACCUUCAAAAUUUUUUUUUCUGAUUCUUUUCUUUCGUAUUUCAGUAUUUUUCAAUAUAUGUGUGUAACCCUUUUACAGAUUUGAUUUGGCUUUAUAUAGCCGAAACAACGGAGAAAGAAACUAUCAAAAAAACUCUCCUCCUUUUGUCAUAAUUUCUGCUAUUAUUUCUAUUUGUGGUUCAUGGCUUGUUGCAGGUACGAGCAUCGUGCGAAGCUACCAGAUGUGGGUGAGACGACGUUGGCAGUUGCUAUGCGUUCGUGCGUGAAGACGGUUGCUGCAAUGUGGGGGCGAGGGUGACGCCGAUGCGCUGCUUAUUACCAAAGGUUUCUGCUGUUCAUUUUUUUGUGUUUUAGGCUAGUGGGUUAGGUAUUUGGGUUGUUUGGGUAUUGGGCUUGUAAUUUGGUUAUUGGGUCAGAGUAUUAUUGGGUUUAAAACUGGGUUUAGUAAUAGGCUAUUAUAUAUAGCCAGGCCAAAAUUGGCCUAUUACAGCUGCCCCUCUUUGCUCGUUAUUGUGUAAUGAUAACAGAGCAAAGACUUUAGCAAUGGUCAAUUUUGCCUGGUUGUAUUGGAUUUCGGGACUCUUUUCUUCAAGUAGCCUCAUUCCAUCCUACUGCAUUCUCAGAAGUAUAGGAACUAGUGCUUCGAUCCACUCCACUACAACAUCAAGGAGAUAGGAUUUGGGUCUUCAGUCUGCUCGAAAGAAUAAAAUUUGCUAUCUCAAGUCCACUCCACUGCACCACCAGGGAAGUAAGAUCUGCCGCUGUGGCUUCAAUCUUUUUAAUUACGCUGUCGGAGAAACCAGAUCCACCGUUAUGACUUCAAUCUGCUACACUGCACCGCCAGGGAAGUAAGAUUCGCCGUUGUGGCUUCAAUCUUUUUAAUUGCGCUGUCGAAGAAAUCAAAUCCGCCGUUGUGACUUCAAUCUGCUCCACUACACCACCAGGGAAGUAAGAUCUGCUGUUGUGGCUUCAAAAAUUUUUUAAUUGCGCUAUCGAGGAAACCAGAUCCGCCGUUGUGACUUCAAUCUGCUCCAUUGCACCACCAAGGAAGUAAGAUCUGCUGUUGUGGCUUCAAACUUUUAAAUUGCGCUGUCGGAGAAACCAGAUCCGCCGUUAUGACUUUAAUCUGCUCACUGCACCGCCAGGGAAGUAAGAUCCGUUAUUGUGGCUUCAAUCUUUUUAAUUGCGCUAUCGGGGAAACCAGAUCCACCGUUGUGACUUCAAUCUGCUCCACUACACUGCCAGGGAAGUAAGAUCCGCCGUUGUGGCUUCAAUCUUUUUAAUUCCAAUGCCAAAGAGAUAAGAUUCGCUGCCCACAGCUUCAAUCCGCUCCACUUCAACUAAUCCAAACCUUAACGCUAGGGAGAUAAGAUUCGCCAUCGUGGCUUCAAUCUGCUCCGCUACAACGCCCAGGGAAAAAAAUUGCUAUUUUCAACCUACUCCACUUCUGUUAAAGAAGAUAAGGCUGAAGUUUUACCGGUUUGUUCUCUAGGGAACACGACCUGUAUAAUUCAAAUUAUGAACCUAAUUAUGCCUAGUGAUUAGGAUGUCAUGAUUAAAAUGAAUCAAAUGCUCCUAACUAGACAUGUAUGAAUGACAUUUGAAUGAAUGUAAAAUAUUAUUUUUUCAAGAAUGAUCCUUCUUAAGUCGUCAUUACUCAAAGUUUAUUAAGAUUUUACCACUGGCGCGCCACAACACCUUAUUGCUUGGCUAGUCUCUCCAAAGAAACACUUGAUCAGAUUUCCUCCACUAUAAACUUAAAAGGUCAAUCUACUGGGACGCAAAAUUUGUACCAUCUUUCUCCCGCUGUAACCCAAGGGUAGAAAAAAAAUCUAGCCUCUCAAUCUUCUCUUAUUACAAUAUGAAGCACUUUGGUCCUUUACACCGUUCUCAGGGUCAUACCAAAUGCAUAUGCACAAAUGAAUGAUUUUCUUCUCCAAGUAAACCCCUUUCUAUUGCUUGGUGAUUAUUACUUGCUUGUUUAUUUAAGCCUCGUCACCAACCUGACAUCUUGUCAUUUUGUUCAAUCAAUGUUUUUGACAACAAAAUCCAAAGAGAAAGUCUUAAUUUAGACCAUUCCUUAUCAGAUUUCCAACCCUUAAACCUAGUGCGUUCUAAAUAAUAGUCCUGUUUCAGGUUCUCGUAUUAUUUAGAAACUUCUAGAGUAAUAUGCAAAACUUCCUUUGUGAAAGUUUUAUUAGUCCAUUAAUCAUCAUUCUAAUACAACAUGCUUGCAAAAAGAGCAAAACGAUGGAUAGCAUAGAAUUGAUUUGAGAGCAUAGCUUGAAAUAAAUAUAUUAUCAAGAAUAUUAAGAAUAAAAUAGGAAUUGACUCGUAUCUUAAAAAAGAAUAAAGUAUUCCAAGAAUAAGCCAUUCAAUAAAAAUAGUAUAAAAACUAGGUGCCCCAGAUAUCGCAGCUUGAACUUCUCUAUACAAACUUCCUGAAGACCAUUCUGAGUUUGACAUGUGCUUAGGAGAUCUACAAUACUCUGUCGAUGCUCCAAGAUGUCGCGUACCCUUUCUUGCUGAUUCAGGCAUAGCAAGAUUGCCACAUGCCCCAAUCUGAUCAGAAUUGAGCUACUCUUAUUACCUCAUGCCCCAUUUUGAUCAAUAUUUGAGCCGCCCUUUUCGGGUUUUUAACUCAAAUCCCCUUUGGUCUAAGGCGCCCUUUGCGGGUUUUCACCUUAGCCUCUCCAUUUUUAUUUUUUCCAUUUUUCAUUUUUCAUUUUUUUAUUUUCAUUUUUUCACAUCUUUUUCACAUCAUCUUUUUUUUGUGACUCAAAGUGCCCUUAGCGGGUUUUUACCUAGGUCCUCUUCUUCUUUAAGUGAAGUAUUUCUUGACUGAAUCUAAGUUUAUAGGAUUAGACCAGUUUUUUACUAUCCAUCUCACUCAAGAUCAGUGCUCCUCCGGAAUAGGUCUUCUUUACAACAUAAGGAUAUUCCUAAUUUAGCACUCAUUUUUCUCUAAAAUCCUCUUGUAGAGGAAGAAUCUUUUUCAAUACCAGGUCUCCCUCGUGGAAUUCUCUGGGACAAACCUUUUUAUUAUAAGCUCGCACUGUCCCAUUUUUGGUACAUCUGACCGUGACGAAUAACUUUUAGCCUUUUUCCUUCAAUUAAGUUUAACUGAUCGUAUCGAGAUUGGAUCUUCAUCGUACUUCAGCUUAGCCAAUACCCGGAAAAAAAGAAUUUCAACUUUAAUGGAAAAAACCGUGAUAAGCUAAAGAGAAAGGCAUUGCCUCAGCGGAGGUUUUUUUCUUUGUUUUUUGUUUUUUGUUUUUGGAUUGAAUCUGCACUCAUAGGAUUAGGCAAGUCCUGGUCAUCCCUUUCAAUCAGAAUCAAUGUUAUUCCAGAUAAAGUCUUCCCUAUAAGAUCUUCCACUUUAAUUUUGUAUGCGAAAGAUCUUAUUUGGUAUCAAGUUUCUCUCAUAGAGCCUUUUGGGGCGAAAUUUAACUAUAACGAGAAAACUUUGGAUCUUCCUAUUCAAUUAGGAUGAAAUCCAACAAAAAUACGGAGAAACGACAACUUGAAUUCAACGGGAAAAAUUAUGAUAAACCAGAGAAGAAGGUUUUGCCCAGGCAAAGAAUUCUAACCGCAUCGUUCAUGAUGUUAAUCUUGAGCAUACUACAAAUUUUUGACGUCGUGCUGUUGCUCAGAUUACAAUAUCAGUACUUAACCUUGACAUGUCCUGGUAUGACCAUGCGAUGACAUUUUUGAACCCUUAAGGUAACUCAACAAGGUCUUGCUUUGUUUCUUCGGUUAUGCAUGUUCCCUCAAGGUUACAAUCUCCAUUGUCUCCUCAUGAGGUAAAUUUGUUUCUCUUCAUGUUCUACCAUCCUCAACAAGUCCUAAGAUAAGCCACGAUCUAUGUCAUCUUCAAAGUCAUGAGAUCCCUCUAAACACAUGUCUUGCUCAAAAGGAGAUUCUGAGUCUGUAGCAGCGUCACUCACGUCAUUGAUAUCUGGGACCCAUAAUAAAUACCAAAGAAUAUACGAAAGAAUGUAUAAAUUUACGAAGAACUAUUUGUACAAUAUGAUUAUGAAUGGAUGAAUGAUGUGGAAGAAAAUCUAAAAGAAUGAAAGAAUAAUUAUUCAAAAGACCGAAAGAAAAAAAUAAUCGCAAGGAUGCAUUUCAUUAAAAUAACGACAAUCAGACAUGAGCCUAUUUCACAAAGGAAUUCUUAUUGCCUCUAGGCUAAAAAAAACAAGUAAGUUUUGAGCAUUACUCUAAGUAAGCUCUAGAUACUACGAAGAAUUCCUCUUCAAUCCGAUUAUUUAAGACACUCCCCAGUUUAUAAGGGUGGAUAUCUAACAAGGUCCCUUUUCAAUUGUCUUCAAAUAUGGUAUUGAUGUGAAUGCCUCUCAACACUUUUUUGUACAUCACAUUAACCCCAUUAUCAAAUGUGAUUGGGUAGCGAAUUUUUUGCACUCGAUGAAUCCUCAAAUUUGACAAUGUCCAUAUUGAUGAGUCUUUCAACCAAUUUCUUGAAAGCCGUGCAAUUUUCUAUCGAAUGCCCCGUAAUUCCUGUAUGGUAUUCACACUGAGCAUUUGCAUUAUACUAUUUAGGAAAUGGGGGCAACAUUGGUUUCAAAUAGAAGGGGGACACCACAUGUGCAUUAAAUAUGCUUUGAUAUAGCUCGCUAUAUGACAUCGGUAUAGGCGUAAACUGAGGGCCUUCUGUAUUUGACUUCAUGUAAGAUUCUCGCUUUAAAGGGCUCUGAUGGCUGGUGAUUUCUGUUUUUGGCCGGCCCACAAUGACUGGUUUUGAGUGACCCUUGUUAUAUCUGCCUACAUUAUUCCCCUUAUUCCCCUUCUUCCUUGGGGCCUUUAAAGUAUUGAUUUGAGAGUUCCACUCUCGCCCUUUCCAUUUGUAACGAUCUUCGAAUUGUUUUGGGAACUCCACCCUUGCAUGUUCUGUUUUUGCUUGAUCAUCAAUGACAACAGGAUUAGUUAAAUUGCCCAUCGAGUUGGAACCUGAGCCAAUCUGGAAAUUCACCGGUGCCGAGGUGCUGGUCUGAUAUUGGGGUCGAAUGUUAACAAUUACCCUUUGUGGAUAUGCAUUUGGUUGUACUUGGGUAUUUGUUGGGUGAAGCCUGAAGGAUAUGUAGGGUCCUCAUUAUUAUCCCUAAAGUGGACCGCUGGGCUCUUUCCUCUUUCUAACCCUCUAGCCAAUAACUGGGUUAACUGGCACAUUAUAUUUCUUUGGAAUUCUAACAACUGAUUCCUCAUAUUUUGCUGAAAUUUGGUCAAUUGCUCCUAUAUCCGCACUUGCAUUUGCUCUAAUUUCUCCAAACUUUGGUCAAUUUCUCUAGUCUUUGUUGAGUGCUAUGAGGGUGUUGGUUUUCCAAUUUAACUGAAAUAAUUUUACUCAAUUAGGCUCUUUUAAUGGAUUUUAAUGCAUAUGAUGUCAUGUAAUGCGAAUGCAUGAAAUGAAUGCAUAAAGAGACGUUGAUUCUAAUUUCAAUUACUUUCAGAAAACUUUAUUAGAAAAUAAAUUUCUUUACAUAGAAUGGGCUACAAAUAUGGCUUUGCCCUAAUACUUAAGACCUUGAUCUUUCUAAGCAACAAGGCCAACUCUUGUCCCCGGUCUGACUCUAAUUCAUACUUCACACUCAACGCGUCGGCCUGUACUACCAAAGUUUGUAGGUGAUCUGCCACUUCUCGAACCUGAACCAUAGCUUCUCCCAUAACGCGAUCCCUAUUUCUGACUUGAUUCUAGAAAUAAUGAAGUUGCUCAUUUUGACGGCCUUUCUUUACCUCUAGAUGCUCAAUCUAAACCUCACAACUUCGCAAUGCUGCUUCUAACUCUUUUAUUUUGUUCUUUAUCUCUUCAAUCUUGCUUAGACUCGCCUUUAGCUUUACUAUAGAAUUUCGACUUCUGUGCUGACGAAGAGACCCUUCUAACUCAACCACUCUAUCUUUUAGCUCGCUUUUUUUCCUUUUGGCCCUCUAACAAGCUCUUUUCUAAUGCUUCGUUCCUUGCUUGUACCUCUUGAAAUUUUCUUUCCCACCAGUCCGACCUAUUUCUUUCUUCUCGAACCUCUUCACGCCACUGCUCUGAAGUUUUUCCAAGCCCGGUAGUUCUCAUUGACAGACGCAUCUUCUUAUAAUCUGUCUUCAAGCUAUCUAGCUCCUCCUCAGCCUUAUUCUUCCCCCUCCUUAAUUUAUCAGCCUCGAGCUUUUGAACAUCUACAUCCAGUCUCAAACCCACUUUUUCCUCCUCUAUUUGCUCUAUUUUCUUCUCUAGUUCUGCAUUUUUCCUUUCAAAGUCUUGCUUUAUGAUUUCCAGCUCAGUAGGGACAACACGCAAAUACUCCUCUAUUGACUGACUAUUUUAUGAUAAGUGCUAAGAGGUGAUGGUCGAAUGUUUAAGAACCUUUGUUUGUGAUUAAUUGGAUGUGUAAGUGUUGAAUGUAUUCUGAUUUUAUGUUUAUUGGGAUGUAUGAUGAGUUACUUUUGAUUGUUUGCAAAAAAAAAACAUGUUACUAAUUAUUAUUGUAUAUAUCGAUUGCAUGUAAAACAUGCUGCUGAUAUCGUUUUACUGAAUGCAUGUAUAACAUGCUACAGUACUGAAAUUGUUACUGAUAAAGCAUGAUGUGCUACAUUGUUACAUGUGAUAUUGCAUUGCAUGAGUUUUGGGAUUUGAUGGGUGACGGAAGAGUUCUAUAGAGUACGAGAGGGUUAUUUGCAUUAUUUUUAAUAGUAUAUUUGUGCCCCGGAGUAUUGUCGGAGUACCAGUGACUUAUCACAACUUACUUGCAGCUUGUAUGCAAAAUAUUUGUAGUUUAACUGUAUAUUGAUAUUGGUGGUUUAUCCAUAUCGAGCUUCGAAUCUUAUUAUUUUUGGUGUUCGGAUGAUGGGUUCUGGGGAACUCGUGGUGUGUAGCGGAUGGAUGAAUAGGACAUUUGCACUGUUUUUUAUUUGAACAUGCCAAUGCAUAUUCAUUGUUUAUUCAAUUGCUAGGAUCUAUUAUGGACAUUGAUAUUGAUGGCUAUGUGUCCUACUGUGAUUGUUUGAAUGUUUAUAUUACUACUGUUUGUUCUGUUAAGACUUACACUGAGCUUUUCAAGCUCACCCCUUUAGCUUACUUCUUACAAAUAACCCUUAAGGUUAGGAUCAAACUCUUCAUAUGGAGGCCUCAUCUCAAAUUUUUAGUUAAUAAAGUAUUUUAAUUUUAAUUUAUUUAUUUCGGUUUUUAUUUUGGGAUUGUGAAUUUUGUUAAUAUGGGUUGUGGCAUGUGUUGUUUUUAUUUGGUUUUUGUAUGCAUGAAAUUUUGGAUAAAAAUCGAGAAAGUUUAAAAAUUGGCUUUAUAUAACUUAAAACAUGAAUUUUCUUACAAAAAUUAAAGGCAUCACCUUUUCUGUUGCGUAAUAAUGAACUGAGUUUUUAAAGGCAUGAUAACGGAAGUAAUUGAGUUUUGCAAACGACACAACUUUUUAAUAAACAGGACUUAAAUGAUAGAUGACCUGAUAAUUUGAUAUUUUUAAUAAACCUAAGGCAACCAUUUUAAGUUCAAAAAAUUUGAGCAAAAUAGAGGUUUUCAAACUGAACGGAUUUACUUGGUCAUUUUGGUGGCUAAUGUAGCCUUCAGGAUUCGGCCGUAACGUCUGGGCCGAUUUUGAGAGGUUACAUAAUCCUUUAAAAAAUAUAAAGAUAUAGGCUAUUAAAAUGAUCAAAUUGCAUUUUUACUAUCGUAAAAAUAUACAAUUGAAUUUCGAUCCCCUAAAAGAAUUUUCUAGCUUCACUCAUAAUUGCAGCCAAUAAUUAUUGAUAAAAUACAAAUAGAUUUAAAGCCUCAAAUUAAAUAAAGUUCUUGUCUAAGGGAUACAAAAACUUGAUAAAAGAUUUCUCGAAUUGGUAAUGAAUUGCGUUUAUGAUAUUUGUGUUCUUGCUUAUAUAUUUUUUUCCCGAGCCAUAGAUUUCUUAGUAUAAUUUGACUUUUAGUUCUAUGUUGUUACUAUAUGUAUUGCUUUGGAAUUAAUCUUCCUAUGUACCGAGCCUUAAUUAUGGAGGAUUAUUAGAAAAGAAAUUUGUAAGUAGUUGGGAGGUAAAAGUACGAUGGAUGCCACAUGUUAAAACUUGGUGUAACUGAUGAAAUAACCAAACAGUGACAUGUGGCAUGCCACGUGUUUCUCAUGUUGACAUAUAGAGACCAAUUUUAACAAUAAAAAUGAAUGAAAUUUUUAAUAGAAGGAUCAAUUUACUUUUUGAUCUAAUGUACAUGGACAAUUUACUUAUUUUUUAAUAGAAAGGGCCAAAUAUAAUUUGACUUUUAGUAUAAGGGCCUCUAUGAUACUUUUACUGAACCUGAGGCUCCCUAUGUUGUAAAUAAAGUGUAAAUUAGCUAAAAAAAACCAAUUAUUAAGAAAAAGAAAUAGAGAUUUAGGCAUAUUUUUAUAAUUACGAUUUUUUAUUAUUAUUUAGAGAAACAUGCCAUUUUUGCUGACAGGACACAAAGCACACCCUACAUUUAACAUGUCAUCUUCCUUGGUCGGUUGUUAAAUAUUGAUGUUUUUAACCAUCCAACCUAUGUUCAAGUCCUCCCCCAAGCAAGUUUGAUGAUUCUUUUUAAUGCAUGUUGUUUUAAGCUUUAUUUUAUUUUUUUUAAUUCAUGUCUUUAUUUGAUAAAUCUUUUUAUAGAAAAAUAAAUAAAUAUGUAAUUAUAUAAUGAAAUUAUAUAAUUCAUAUAUAUCAUUAUGUUAAAUUUGUUUUUGAUAAAUAUGUAAUUAUAAAAUUGGCCUAAAAAUUAUAUUUACUAAAAAUAAUAAUAUUUGAAAUAAUUAUUUGAUUUUAUAAUAGUAGAAUUUAUCAUAUCCACUUUGUUGGUGAAAAAACAAUGGUAUUUGAAAUAAUUAUUUGAUCUAAUAAUAUUAGAAUUUAUCAUGCCCACAAUGUCACGCCUCAAAUUGUGGGUUCAAUUUCUGGGUUAUUUCUGUUACCGUUAAAUUUAUUUAAUUUUCUACUUGAGUUUGCAAUUGGGCUUCUAUUUGGGCCUAAUCUGUUAGAAGGCCAAAAGCCCUAGUACAAUAAACCCUAAACAAUAUAUCAUAGUGUUUUCUAACCCUAGGUAUAUAAGCAACUUUUGUUUGACUGGUCCUUCUUUUGCUUCUUUUGUUUUUCUGUUGUUGCCCCUUUCUCUAUGUUUUUUUUCUUUUCUUUUCCUUAUUCUCUUCCCUUAUGCCACACCAUUUAUUUCUCCUUUCAUCUUCCUCUUUUUUUUCUCCUUUCUUCCUCCCUUUUUCUCUUAUCGCCGCACUCUACAUCUAUUUCUCCGUUCCGAUUUUACAUUGAGGCAUUUCUCCAUUGUGUGAUGCAAUCUUCUCCCUUUUCGACCGGUAGAUUGGUAAGUUCCUUUUAUCGUUUAGAUUUGGUUGUUGAUGUGUUUUUGAGUGUAUGAUCUUCACUCAUUCUUUCAAUUUGCCUAACCGAUUUCUUUUAGAUUUUUUCGAAAGCCUUAAUAACGAUUACUAACUUACGUAUCUUGUGUGAAUAUGUCAUUUGAAGGACUGGAUCUAGGGGUGUUGGAUCAGAUCUAAGUGUGUGAAGUGCUAAACGAGUUAGUGGUGAAAGGUGUGUGUCCUAUCCAUGAAAAUUGGUGGCAAACCAUUUGUGUAUUUUUGAAUCAUAUGGUCUACCAAACGAGCAUGUGUCCCACAUGAUUGGUCAACGUGAUCAUGUGCUAAUGUAAAUUUAGGGUAUUUUUACUCACACGGUCACAGCUAGUUACACGUCCAAUCACUCGGUCUUGUGACUAUUGUUGGAGAUUUUGCUUAUUGAUCACACGAAUUCAGUGAGUUACACAGCCUGGACACAAGCCCGUGUACCUCAAUGCACACAGCAUCAACGUUUCACACGGUCUAGCCACAUGACCAUGUGACCUUUGUUUUACAGUUUUGCCUUAAUUUUUUUGAAAUAUUUCAGUUUAGUCCUUGUAUAAUCCCCAACUUGUUUAAAGUUCUCGUAAGCUCAAUUGAGACCCUUUUUCCAUAUUUGUUCUGAAAUAUGUGAUCUGUUUGAUUAUGUAUUAAAUUUGAAAUUGCUGCUGAUAUAUAUUCACUGAUACUGUUAAAACUACAACUGCUACUGUUUGUAUGAUAAUCGCAUUAUCAUAUUGUUAUAAUUACUAUUUAUUGAUUUAUAAAAGCAUGUCAUACUAUUGUAUUGGGAUUGGGUUGUUGAAGGAGGAAGUGCUACUGGCGGUUUAUUCGCAUAUCUACUGGAAGUUUAUCUACAAAUCUGCUGGCGGUUAUUUGCAUAUCUACUGGCAGUAUAUCCACACGAGCUUAUGCUCCCACUGUUAUGGUGUAUAGGGUUGGACGAGUUUUGGGGAACUCUUAUUAUGGAGUGUAACGAAUAGGUGGGUAGGAAAAUUCUAUAGUUAAUCCUGUAUAUUGCAUACUUACUGAUAUCACCGUGAGAUUGAUAAUCUGAAAUGUAUUAUAUAUUGCAAAACUGUAUGUUAUCAUUUACUGUUUAAUUUGCUUACUGCUUGUGUGUUAAGACCACACUGAGUUUUAUAAACCAUUCUUUAGUUUCCCAUCUUUUUGGAUAAUUAUUGAGGUUAGGGUUCGAACUCGACAUUCGGACCAUUGUCAUCGAUUUUAUACAAAGUAUUUUAAACCCCGUUUCAUAAACUUUGUUGAUUUUUGCAUUAUUUACAUACGGACUGUGACAUGGACUUUACUAUUCCAUAUGGGUGUUAAAAUUUGAGAUUUGACGUUAUUUGGUUUUGACAUUAAACACAAAUAUGAUUAAGAAUUUUUAAGUUAUUAUUUCAAAUUAUUUCCAACUAGCCUAAAUAUGGAUUUUCCAACUGACUUUGUAAUUAAAAUUAAGUAAAUGAGAUAUUUAAAAUAAAUUAAUGUUUUUUUAAAUGGAUUAGAUUGUAAAUGUGAUUUUUAAAAUUGGAUCAAAAUUAUUUUUCUAAAAGAAAAAUUUACCUGUGCUAUUAUGAGUUAAAAUAAAUAAAUAUACAUGUGUAUAUAUAUUGAAAACUUAAGUGACAAUUUCUUUUAAUAACCACUGAGACUUGUAUUGUCAAACUCUUUUUACUGAACUCAAAAGCUUUACUGGGCCAUUUCAGUGGCUAAUGUCACUUUCAUGAUUUGACUAUAAAAUUUGGGCUGGGUUGGGGAGGUUAUACAUAAUGUAGGUGGAUAAGUAAAAUAUUUGACAUACCAAAGUUAUAUAAGGAGAAAUUAAAAUUUUAAUUCAUACUUUUAAAGAAUAAAAUAUUUCUUUUAACAUAAUGAUAUAUAAAAAUAUAUAUUUCCAUUAUAUAAUUACAUAUUUAUUAUUUUAUUUAUAUAAAUAAUGGAAGUAUUAAUUUAAAAAAUAUUUUUGACAUAAUGAUAUAUAUAAAAUGUACAUUUUAUUAUAUAAUUACAUUUUUAUUAUUUUUAUAAAUAAAAGAGUUAUUAAUUUAAAAUACAUUUAACAUAAUGAUUUAUGUAAAAAUAUAUAUAUUUUGAUUAUAUAAGUACAUGUUUAUUAUUUUGUUUAUAUAAAUAAAUGAUUUAUUGUAACACCCCUAACCUUUAUCUAUCGCCGGAUUAGGGUUAUGGAGCAUUACUGUACACUCGAAACAUUUAAACUUAAUUUCAUUCAAUAUCAUAAAUAUAACAUAAAUCAUUCAUACAUACACACACCGUCCCUAUAUUGAGCCCUUGAGUCCCAAGAAACACCUUAGAAAGAAUUUGGGACUAAAUUGAAAUCAUUUGAAAGUAUAGAAAAAAGUUACAAAAAUUUGGAUAUAGGGGUCACACGGCCAUGUGGCCAGACUGUGUAACCUUCAAACUAGGGACACAUGACCGUGUCCUAGUGUAACACCCCUAGCCCGUAUCCGUAGCCGGGUUAGAGCUACGGAGUGUUACCGAAGCAUAAUUUUAAGGUACAAUUAGUUAACAUUAACAAUUCAUCACAUAAUUCAUAAAAAAAAUCAAACAAAUUCAUACAUACAGUCCCUUUUACGAGCCCUCAAGGCCUUAAAAAUGUAUUAGAAACAAAUUGGGACUAAAUCAGAAACAUAUUAAAUUUUUCAGAAAAAAUUAAAAAAUUUCAAACUAUAGGGAUCACACGGCCAAGAGACAUGCCCAUGUCUUAGGCCGUGUGGGCAUUCGAAAUAGGGACACACAGCCAUGUCCCAGCCCGUGUCUGUACCCGUGUAACUCACUGACUUGGGUCACACGGCCAAGCCACACAUUCGUAUGCCAAGCUGUGUACCCUCGAAAUAACUCCACACGCUCGUGUGCCAGGCCGUGUAACAGCCUGACUUGCAAACCUUUGAAAGCUAUAGGGGACACAUAGCCAUAUCAUCUGGCCAUAUGUCACACACGGCUGAGACACACGCCCGUGUGGAUGAAAACUAGGCCAUUUCGAAGCCAUUUUUCUCACCCAAACUCACACCACAUGCACAAGCCAUUUGCAGCUAAAAUCAAUCAUUCAAAACACAUUUUGCAUAUGCAUAUCCAAGCUUAUACAACAUAGAAACUAUCCAUUCAACCAAUAUGCCAAAAUGACACCUCAAUUUCAACAAUCAAACUUACCUAACACCUAACCAUUUCAUUCACUAAAAUUUACCAAUUGAACAACUUCAAAGCCACUUUUAUCCAUAUGUUCAUAUACUAAAAUGCAUACACAACCAAUACCAAAUGACCAUUUUCCCAACUAACAUAUACCAUACUAAUUUGACCAAAAGAUGAUCACUUCCAAACUACCAAAAGUAGCCAUUUACAACACCAUGCUACAUUCAUUCCACACCAACCAUUCAUUGUUACCAUACCAUUUCCAUCAACAUUUCCUUACCAUCAUCUUAACCAACAUAACAUCAAAUUAUCAACCACACAAAAUACCAUAUAAUCUUAAUAUCAUACCAACUAAUUCAUCAACCAAGAUAACAUAUAUACAAACCACACAUAAUGGCUAGAUUGAUUAAACAAAACACCUAUACAUGUCAUUAUAACCAUGACUCAAAAUCAUCAAAAUCUACCAAUUUAACUGACGGAUAGUGUGGUGGAUCUCCAAUAAGCUUCUAACUCGUACGAACCUCCGAUUAUCUAGAAACAUAGGAGAAAAUCACACAAGUAAGCAUAUAAUGCUUAGUAAGUUAGUAAAUCAUAAACAAUACUUACCAUUUCAUUAUAAAAGCUUAAAGGCAAAAUAGUGAACAUAUCCAACAAAAAUUCACAAUAGUGAUUAACAUAUAACUUAAUCAAAUUCAUUACACAACAAAGAGCUUCCUUAAGCUUUCCAUGUAAACAUUUUUACUAAAAUCUUUAAUCACUAUCAUUUCAUACCUUUCUCAUGCUUUCGUGACAUUAUAAGUUGAAACUUAUGCCGAUCCUUCCCUUUUUGUAUACCCGUUGAACCACUAGAAUAAUAUUGAAUACUUGGGAAUCUCGCACACAAUGUGCUAACACGUGGUCGAAACCACUACUAUUUCAUAUCUCAUAUAAUUGCUUUCUCUCAAGCCAUAAGUGGGUCUGUUCACACAAGCUGUCAGUCAGGAUAUAGCCACAUGGUGCUGACCACACAAGUUGUCAAGUAACUACAACACAUGUGGGAAACUCAACCACUGGUAGGACGUACAAGACCAGCACCUGAAACAUAGUAACCUCUAAUAACAUGUCAUUUGUAUCCUAUAUAUUCCUAAGGUUCAAACGAGAUCCGAAAGUCUUCGAAACUUUGUUGGAUAUUUUCGUAGAGUCGUAAUACCAAGAAUAUAACACAAAAUAAUUUAAAUAAAACAUAAUUCAAUACUAAUUAAAUAUACAAGCUUACCUCAAACAUGAACGGAGAAAUAUGAUUGAUUAAUCCAAUAUUUUUUCUUUUCCUCGAUCUAAAUCCGUACAUUGCUUUUAUUGAUCUAUAUAAUCAAAUUUAACUAAUUCAAACUUCAUUCUAUUCAAUUUAAUCCAAAAAUCAUGUUUUUGGAAAAAUUACACUUUUGCCACUAUAGUUUUGAAUUCAUUUCAAAUUAGUCCCUAGCUCAUAAAAAUAGAAAUUCAUACAAUUUAAUACCAAUCCACCAUAUUCAAACAUCACUUAGGCCCUUAAAAAUCCCUAAAUUUCAAUUAUUUCAUAAUUUCAGAAAGAAUAAUUUUCUAUUUUUCAAUCUAAUCCCUAAUUGGCAAAUUCAUCAAAAUUUCCUUUACAAAAGUUGUUCAACUAUUAUCAAACGUUCAUUUUCAUCCACCAAACAUAAAAAAACAACUAACAUUCAUUCAUGGUAAAACCCUAGAAUUUUAACAGUUUUGCAAAUUAGUCAUUGGGCUAGCUAGAUUAAGCUACAACGACUUCAGAAACAUAGGAAUCAUUAAAAAUCGAGCAAAAAUACACUUACAUGCACUAGAAGUGUUGGCUGAAUGCUUCAAGCCCUAGCUAUGGCUUCCUAUUCUUCAAUUUCGAUGGUCUUUGUCAUUAAGGAAGAUGACAUUUUAAUUUUCUUUUUGUUUUAUUAUACUAAUUAGCUUAAUUACAAUUUUAACCUUACUUUUAACCUUUAUAAUUUUAUAACUAAAGUCCAUAAUUGUCCACUAAUAUGUUAAUGGUCUAAUUACCAUUUAAGGCCACUUAUAAUUAAAUUUCAUAGUAAUUUAACACCUUUUCUAAUAGAACACAAGUCUUGCACUUUAUGCGAUUUAGUCCUUUUUAUCAAAUAAAACAUACAAACGAUAACAUUUCUUCAUGAAAUUUUUAUACGAAGCUAUUAUCAUGCUGCAAACCUUAAAAUAAUAAAAUAAAUUUUUUGACAUUAGAUUUGUGGUCCCGAAACCACUAUUCUGAUUUCACUAAAAAAUGGGUUGUUACACUUAGCCUGUGUCCUCACCUAUGUAACUCACUAAGUAGGGUCACACGGCCAUGUCACACGUCCGUAUGCUAGGCGGUGUAACACUUGAAAUUGCCCCACAUGCCCGUAUGCCAGGCUGUGUGCUAGGUCGUGUAACUCAUUGACUUGCACUUUAAGAACACAUCAGAUGACACACGACCGUGUCACCAGGCCGUGUGUCUCACACAGUUGAGUCAUAUGCUCGUGUCUCAGGUCGUGUGGACCCAAAAUGAACCUUAAACAAUAAGUUUACCAUUUCAAGCUUACUUUGACUCUAAAUAAUCCAUUUACCAGCCAAAAGACCUAUUCAAAGUGACAUUAAACAAGCCAAAAAUAUGCCAAAUCAACAUCCUAAGUUCCUAACCAAUGUAUCAUCAUUUAUACCACAAGUAUAUACAAUUAUACAUCAAAAUGAAACAUCAAUCAAAACUUAUCAAUUCAUCAAAUCUAACACCUAACCAAUAUAGCAAUCAUAGGCACCUCAAACACAACAUUGCAUUAACACAUAUCAUUCAUAUUUGCAUUGAAACAUCUUACCUCAUUCACAUGUAUCAUAUAAGUAAGCAAUUUACAUAUAAGAUCAUACUUAACAUUUUACAUAUCCAAAACAUUAGUAAUGACAUACAAUCCUAUUACAUUCCAUAUAAUCUGAAAUGAACGUUCCAAAAACUAUCAAAAUUUAUGGAUAGUGUGACUUGAGUGCUGAUCCGAUCGUCCAACCUUCUGAAUAUCUAAAAGAACAAUAAAUAACACAAGUAAGCUCAAUAAAGCUUAGUAAGUUCGACAUAUUAAAACGAUAAAUCUUACCGAAGUAAAUACAACAAAUCAAAUAAUAAUACAACCAUGAAUGUUUCCUGCCAUCUACAAUCUCGACCGGUAAAUCAUAAAAGUUCAAUUCAAUACUCAAAUAUAUGACAAAACCAUCAAAAUAACUAAUCAAGAUACCUUAUCAAUAUUUUCAACUCGAUAAAUGACUUACGGAUAAGAGUACAUAGAUAAUCUAACCGAAACACAUCAGAUUGAAUCGUACGAACUUACCUGGAUUUUAAAUCGUACGAACUUACCUGGAUUGAAUUGUAGUAGUUGCAGAAGUUUAAGGAUUAUUCUGUAAUUUUUCCUUUUCCACGAGUAUCAACUGGGUCUUUAUCUAAAAUGUAAAAUUUCUUAAUUAUCAGCUUACAUUUCACAUUCCAAUUCAUUUUACAUUUUAUACCCUUUUAUUUUUUGAAUUUACCAAUUACCCUCAAACUUUUACAAUUUUUUCAAUUUAGUCCAUUGACCCAAAAAUCAUCAAUUAACCAUUUUUCUCAAGUCAACAUGAUAAUCUAAUAUACUAGGCCCUUCCCUACUAAACACCAAAUUCACUAUCAAACCCUAAAGUUUUGACAUUUUCACAAUUUAAUCCCUAAAUCAAAAUCUAACAAAAAUCACUUCAAAAAAUCACCAAAUAACACAAUCAAAGCUUAAAAUACAUAAGUAUUAUAAAAAAAAAUUCAAGAUUCAUCCAUGACAACUUCUAAAAUUUUUAACAGAUUCAAAAACAAAAGUACGGGCUAGUUGGACCUAAUUGCAAUGAAUCAAAAACAUAAAAAAUUACAAGAAUUGAACUCAUAUGCACAACGAUGAAGAAACCGAAACUUAAAGCUUUCUCAUGUGGUGGUUUUGGCAAAGGUUGAAGAAAAAUGAAUAGGAAAACUUCAAAUUUCAAUUUGUUUUGUUUAAUUUCAACUAAAUUACAAUUUUGCCUUUAAAAUUACAUUUUUUUAUCAUUUUCUAUUGUUUAGCCGUCCAACCAAGUUAAUUAGGACUAACUUACCCCUUAAGUCAUUCCUUAUUUAACUUUCAAGCUAUUUAAUAAACUAAUUGCAAUAAUUAUAAGUUUUGUGCCUUUUACAAAUUAGUCUUUUUUCUUUAAUUAGCUAUCUAAACGUUAAUAUUUCUGAACCUAAAUUUAAUAUGAAUCUAAUGACUCCAUAAAAGUUCUAAAAAUAAUAUUUACGAGUCGACACGAUGAAAAUUCGUGGUCCCAAAACCACUGUUCUGUCACCACUGAAAAUUAGGCUGUUAUAGUUAUUCAUUAAAAAGUUGAAUUAAAAAUAAAAUUAAAGAAACUUGAAAUCAACAUGUUUAUUAAUUAGAAACUAAAAAUUUAGAAUAAAAAUAAAAAGGCUGGAAAUAACUUGAAGUACAUAUUUAUUAUUAUUUUGUUUGUAUAAAUAAAAAGAGUUAUUAAUUAAAAACAUGAAUUAAAAAUAAAAUAAAAUAACUUGAAAAACAUGUUUAUUAAUUAAAAACUAAAAACGAAAUAAAAUAAAAUAAAAUUAAAUUAAAAAUUUUAUCACACAUAUUGUGAAAAUCACGCAUUUAAAACAUAAAUUUAUAUAAUUGAAAAUAACAUACAAAUUAAACAAUCACCACUUGCCUUAGAAAAAAAAAUUAAAGGCCACCUUCGUAAGGAAUUAAUUAGAUAAAAUUAAGUUGGAACACUCAAUUAAUGAAAUUAUUGGUUGUUUGGAUGAUGAGAAUCAAGUUUAAAUUGUUGUUGAGAUCCAUCUCAAAAUUUGGAAAAAGAAAUUGCAGGGGUUGGAAGAGAACCAAGUUAUAGAGAUUUAUUUCAAAAUUUAGAAUUAUUUUUAAUGAAUUUGUAUAUUAAGGUAAAAAAAGUUUAAAAUAUAUUUGAAUAAUAUGAUUAUUUUAAUUAUGAAAUAAUAUUUUUGUAAUUUUCUUAAUUAAGUUAGUGUUUGAUUGACUCGUGACAACAACACAACCAUGUGAUUAAAUAAUUGGAUAGAUUUGCAAUUGAUGGAGAUAAUAAAAUAAAAUGUAUAAAAAAUAUUAAAAUAAAAUUUUGAUGGAAUGAUAAAUUUAGAGUUUUACUAAUUUAAUAGGUGUGGGUUUAAAUCUUUAAGUAUGCACAACUUUAUUAGUUUUUCUAAAAUAAAAAUAUCAAAUAGUAUAAUUUAUUAAUAUUUUCAUAAUUUUACUUGUGAUACCACGUAAUACUAUAAAUAAGCUUUACAUCAGCAAUUAAUCACCCACCCAAUUUUGUCGAGUCAGCAACCAUAAAAUAAGCUUUUGUCCAGUCAACAACAAAAGUAUAUUCCGUAAAAAGAAUGGAUUUGAAUUUUUUUUCAAUACAAAUUAGAAGGAUAAAUUUAAUUUAUAGUCGCGUAUAUUAUUUCUUUCCUUCCUUGAAUAAUAAAAAAAUCCACUUAAAUCCUUAAUUUUUCUUUUUCUAAUUUAGCCCUAUAAAUAAGGUAGUUAGCAGCCACAGUAGUAUAUGAACCUAAAACUUGAAUUCCAAUACCUCCCAUAAUCACCAUGGAUCUUUACACUUACCUUCAAUCAAUUGCAAUUUUGUUGCUGUUGUUAUGUACUUUCUCGAGAAGAGCACCCAAAAAUUCCAAGAAAAAUUGCAUCCCUGAACCAUCCGGUUCAUUGCCACUCAUCGGUCACCUCCAUCUCCUAGGUGGGAAAGAGCCAAUCUGCAAGAAGCUAGCAACAAUAGCGGACAAACACGGCCCACUCUACUCACUCAAACUCGGAACCCACCGACUGUUGGUGGUGAGCAGUUGGGAAAUCGCCAAGGAUUGCUUCAAGGACAAUGACCGAACCCUGGCUACUCGAGCUAGCAUCGCUGCUGGGCGGCACAUGGGUUACAACAAUGCGAUCAUGGCUCUCGCCCCAUACGGCGAAUAUUGGCGUAACAUCCGUAAGAUAGCCACGGUUGAGCUUCUUUCUAGCCACCGUUUAGAGAAGCUAAAGCACAUACGUUUCUCCGAAAUGGACUCGUUCAUCAAAGAGUUGUACGGACUUUCACGAAACGGUGCCAAAGUGACCAUCAACGAGGCUUUGGAACGAUUGACGUUCAACAUCAACCUACGGUUAUUCGUCGGAAAACGAUUUUCCGGCUGUGAUUACGAGGAAGUAAACAGCGAACCGUGGCGGUACGAGAAGGCCAUUAAACGAGCGUUGCAUCUUUCCGGGAUCUUCGUCUUGGCGGAUGCUGUACCGUACCUCGAAUGGCUUGAUAUUCAAGGCCAUGUUCGUUCCAUGAAGAGAACAGCCAAAGAACUCGACUCAGUACUCAGUGUUUGGCUCGAAGAACAUCUAAAGAAGAAAAAGGCAAACCAGGGUAUCUCUGAAAAUGAUUUCAUGGACGUGAUGUUAAAUCACUUACCGGAAGAUACUGUAAUUUCAGGCCAUAACCGCGACACCAUUGUAAAAGCAACAACACUGGUAAGUGGUAAUGGUCCCAUAAGUUGUGCUAGCUUUUAGCUAUUCUCAAUAGCUUCCGGUGGAGUUUAUAUACGGUAUCAAUACUAUAUAUACUUAUUUAAGUUCAAUUUAGUUAAAAAUAGGCUAAAAGUACUCAUAGGUUAUGUAGGAUUCAUGUUGAGCUCUUGCAUGAUAUGAGCAUUAUAUAUAGUUGCAAAAAUACAACUUAAUUCGAAAUAUAAAUAUUAAAUUUUAUCUAAAAUUAAUAAAUUUUAAUAAAUUUUUGGGGUUAUAUGGGUAAAAGUAUUAUAGAAGCCUGAGCGUCAAAUUAUAUUUUAUCUUUUUUUAAUUAAAAUAUGAACAAAUUAGUCCAUACAUAUUAGAUUAAAUAGAAACUUAGUCUCUCUAUUAAAAAUUUCAUUUCUAUUAUUAAAAAUUAGUCUUUUUUAAUAAAAUAAUCAGAUAAUUAUACCUAAUGUGCCAUGUGUAUCUCAUAUUUACAUAUAAAAUUCAAUCCGGACAUCUUACUUUUACUGCUAUUAAAACUCUACUGUUUGCAGAUUCUUUCAUUGACCGGAGGAGAAAGUACAUCAGUGACAGUCACAUGGGUACUUUCUUUACUACUGAACCACCCGAAAAUUUUAAUGGCCGCACAACAAGAGUUGGACCACCAUGUUGGAAAACAAACGUGGGUCGAAGAAUCAGACAUUAAGAACCUCAAAUAUCUACAAGCCAUAGUUAAGGAAACUCUACGUUUAUACCCACCGGGACCCAUCACCGGAAUCCGUUAAGCCACCGAAGAUUGUCGCAUCGCUGGCUACGAUGUCUCAAAGGGUACUCGUUUGAUUGUGAAUCUUUGGAAAUUGCAACGAGACCCACCCACGGGUUUGGGAAAAUGCCGAUGAGUUUCGUCCAGAAAGGUUCAUGACAACGCAUGUUGAUUUCGAUGUUAGGGGUCAAAAUUUUGAGUACAUGCCGUUUAGCUCCGGUAGAAGGUCAUGCCCUGGAAUCACGUUUGGGUUACAAGUUGUUCACUUGAUGGUGGCCAAACUAAUUCAGGGAUUUGAUAUUAAGACGGCAGAAGGGACUGCGGUGGAUAUGGAAGAAGGUUUCGGACUUGCCUUACCUAAGCUGAAUCCUAUUGAUGUUGUUCUAAGGCCACGCCUUCGUACGGAGUUCUAUGAGUGCCUUGAGGACAUGAAUAAAUACUAGAGAUUUUAAGUAUUUUAUAUUUGAUUAAAUAAAUAAUGUCCGAAUUAAGGUCUCGAAUAUAAGAAUGUGUGUACACAAAUUAUGUUUUAAUCGUCACAAUCAAAUAUAUAUUAAAUUUAAGUUGUCUGAUAAAUUGAAAUUUUAA
rnacentral:lncRNA from 1 species